rnacentral:lncRNA from 1 species
UGCAAAUCCUCAGCGCUGCUCUUGCCAUCCCAGAAGGAUUCCAACGCGAACUUGAGCUCCCUCUUGGGGCCCAUGCGUGGGUAUCCAACGAUGUGAGAUGCCAUUUUACUGUCAUAAUCACGUCAUCAAUGAAUCGAAAAUCAGUCACUUUCAUUAAAUCAAGAAAAUAUUCAUUCAAAUGGAUGGGUCAUUGCUAUUACUGCUCAAAUCAAAUGAAAUCAAGAACACUUAUCAGAGCAUAAAAUCUUAAAUUAAUUUUUUUAUAAAAAAAUAAAAAACCAGUUGAAACAAGCUGAUAAUAAUCCAAGAGUUUGAGAUGAUUUUUUUCUUUCUGUAAUCACAUGAACAAUUAUGUACUUUCAGUCAUUUUUGAAGGAUUAAAACAAAAAAUUCUACAAAUAGAUUCUGAAAAGAAGAAUCUAAAAAUAGAUUCAAAAACAGUAACACAAGUAGAGUUCAAAUUGUUUUUCGGAAAAGAUUAAUUACAGAUCUGAUUGAUUCACGUUCAGAUCUAGCAAAAUCACGGCAGCCAAACACUAGAUCUAACACUAACAGUCACUCACCAGUCCAUUAGAAAAUGAAAUCAAGUUCAAAAUUCUUUUAAAGUUAAUUCUUUUUUAGAAAAUGACCAGAUUUUAGUUGAGUAUUAGUGAGUUUUUUACAAAAUAAUUUAUUUUUGUUUUUUAGAUCCAAAAGUUCGGAAAUCAAAACCAUGUUCAAUGCUUAUUCAUGAUUAACGGCGUAAAAACGCUACUGCAGAGAAGACAUAACGAAAAUGGGAACCGUACCAAACAGAGAAAGAAGAGCAGAGAAAUUGAGAGUCGAGAGGAGAGAGAGAAGAGAGCGGCGAGUUUGGGGGAGUGCCCUCUCCGUUAUUUAUAGCCAAAAAUCAAAUCUGGUUUGGUGGUUGCCUUUGGCGUGCCAACCUGUAGAUCUGAGAUUUUUCAUCUUAAUUUCUUUCUCUUAUUUAUUUAUUUAUUUAUUAUGAUUUUCAGUGCAGUUCAUAAAAUAUAGAGCUGACGCGCGCUUUUCUGAUGUGGCGCGUGAAUUGGAAAUGCGGUAGGUCUUUGUGGGCCCCACGGCACGGUCAGGACUGAAGGAAAAAUGUGAGAAGUUAUCAUAAUUUCAACAGUGCCAUAAUUAGCAAUUACACCACCAAAUAUUUCUUGAGUUUUUUUUUUUUGAUUGCUUUAAAUGCAGAGUUGUUAUGAAUUGUGUUAAUUGUAGAGUUGUUAUGAUUAGAUUACAUUAUAAUUCGUCACAAUUAUGAUAGGUAUGUACGUAUAUAAUAAUUUAUGAGUAAUGAUAUAACCACAAACUCUUAUACAAACUUAUUUUGUACAAAUUGAUGUGGCAUGAUAAAAUUAGUUGAAUUAAAUAUUACUUGAUCCACAUGAUUUGUUAUUAUUAUUUUAUAUUUUCAUUCAACCAAUGAAUUAAUGACACGUCAGUUUGUACAAGAUAAGUUUGUACAAGAGUUUAUGGUUGUAUCAUCACUCAUAAUUUAUAUAAGAUCUCGAAUAUUUAAAAAAUUUAUAAAUCAUUAUUUUCAUGUACAUUUACCUGGUAGCAAUGACAAUAACAUAAAAUAAACUCCAAACAAGAAUGGAUUAUAUUAUUUAUGUUAUUUUAUAGCUUUUUAAUUGAUUUUUAAAAGGAUUAAUUGUUAAUCAUUACUCUCCAACCGUAAUCACCAUUAAAUAUUUAUUUAAUUUAAUAGUCGGUAGAUCAUAAAUAAGAUUAGAAUAUUUAAUGGACAAUCUAAUUGCUACUACAAUUGUUAUCAUUUUUUUAAGGUAAGGGAUUAGACAAUACUCAAAUUUAUUUUUUAACCCCUUACUCCCUAAAGAUUCGAAUUUAACUAACUAAUUAAAUAAGACUGCUUAAAAACCACUCAACCACAUCUUUUGGGGACCAAUUAAUAUCGAUGUUUAAACUGAGGUUUAUUAUUAAAUUUUUUAAGUUUCAAGUUUCAACCGCUAACAACAUUAUCAUCGAUUAAUGAUAAAUAUAAUAAUAUUUCAUCAAAAAACCAUUUAACACAUCCAUCCAUAUUAAACAUAAGUAAAAAAUUUAUCAUGCAUUUCAAAUAUAUUUUUCAUCCUAAAAGUUAUGGAGAAAAUCUUGAUAUCAAAACUUACAAUGUAAUUAUGGGAUGUAAUUUUGCAUUUGAGGUCAGCACAACUUAAAAAUUACUAUGAAUGAAAAUUUAUAAUAAGCAGACACCACAAAAAAAAAUUAUUUAUAAGUAUUACAAUCAUGCAGUUUUAUUUAAGUAUUUAACCAAGUCAUUCAAUUUCUAAUUAAGACGGUAUAAAUUAGAUUUGGGCUGCCUAAGACCAAAAGUCAAAAAAAAAAAAAGAAUAUUCCUAAUAAGCAGCCUACCGCGGUCACGCGCCUUAAGAAACGCUUGGACUUAGCACACGAUUUUAAUCCAAAAUGUAUAAAAAAGGAAAAAUUUAUGAGGUGUAUAAUUAUCUUGAGUUGUUAUAUUUUGAAGAAACAAUGAAGAAAGUUGGUGGCCGAAGUUGAUCCGGGGCGAAUGGUGGUGGGCCCACGUUGUUGCAUUAUAAUUGGAGUUAUUGUAAUUUUUCUUAUAAUUAAUAAACUCCAUUUUUCAAAGAAAAUAAAUAAAUAAAUACACUCCCGAUUACGAAAAUAUCAUUUCAUGAGUGUCAAAGUUAGAGCUGGCAAAAUUUGACACGACCCGAUUACCUGACACGAACACGACAUAAAUAAAUAAGUAUGGAUCGUCAAAUUUAACACGAUUAUUAAAUGGGUCGGGUCUGGGUCAACACAAUUUUUUUCCGUGUCGGGUUUGGGUUAAAAUUCUUGACCCAUUUACCCGAUCAAUGACCCGAUUAUAUUUUCUAUUUUAAAAUAAUUUACAUAUUCUUAUAAUUAAAACUCAAAUAUUAGAGAUAUUUUUUUUAUUCUUUAAAAUGGUGAAUAUAAACACAGUGUUUUAUUUAUAAAAUUUUACAUACAUUUAGAGCUUCAAUAGUGUAAAUGUGUAAAAAUUGAUAGACAUGUAUAUUUUAUAAUAUUGAUAUAUAAUAUUAUAUAUAUAUAUAUAUAAUUAAAACCUCAAUAGUGUACAUGUGUAAUAUAUUGGUAGAUAUGUAUAUUUUAUAAUAUCGAUAAAUUAUGUAUGUAUGUAUUUAUGUACAUACGUAUGUAUGUAUUUAUGUAUAUACGUAUGUAUGUAUUUAUGUACAUACGUAUGUAUGAUAGUGUGUAAAUAUUUUAUGUAACUUUUGUUCAAUAUAUAGAUAUUAAACGGGUUAUUGGGUAACCCGAUUGUUUUUCCGUGUCGGGUUUGGGUCUCAAUAUUUUGACACGAUUAUUAAAUGGGUCGGGUUUGGGUCGACCUAAAUUUGACACGACACGACACGAACACGACCCGAUGACCCGUUUUGCCAGCUCUAGUCAAAGUGACCGUCACCUACGCAUCGCGUUUGUUGGGCGGGGUGGGUAAGGUGGGGCGAGGAGUUUGUUUGAUCGUCUGAUUACUUUGAUUUUGAUGAAACGUAUGGACGACGGCGAUGGCUUGCCAGCAAGUGGGUUUAUCAUGAUUUUGAUUGUAUUCGGGGAGAUGCUUAUGUAUAUCCUCAAAACUUCUUGGAAAUGAAAACCGCUGGGGUGGCAAAUCUUGACCAAUAAAGUGUGCGUGAUGUUGCGUUUAUAAAUUUCAAUAAUACUAUUGGCCGAUUGAGAUUAUUUUUAAAAAGUUUAAAAAUAAUUUUUAAAGGUUAAAUGUUAAUUUUAAUAUUGAAUAAAUUUUUAAAAAUUAUUUUUGAUAAAAUCAUUUUAUCCUCCAAUAAAUUUUAAAAAAUAGCGAUACAGUAAUUUUUUAAAAUCUAAUUUUAAUAAUCAAAACUAUUUUUUUAUAUAAUUUUAUAGAUAUCCGCAUAUAUAUAUUAUAAAAAUUCGAAAUCAUUAUUAUUAAUUAGGAAAUAAAAUCAUUAACUUUUAAGAAAUUAUUAUUAUUACCAAUUAUACUGACAUAACAAAAUAAAAAAUUAAUUAAUAUUAUAAAUAUUUAUUUCAGUUAUCAACUAUUAUAUAUACACAAUAAAAAAUAUUUUAUAUACAUAUUUAUAAAUGUAUAAAUAAUUUUUAUUCAAUAUUAUAUCGAAUUAAUCAUUUACAUUCUUGCAACAAGUUAACAAUAAAAUUUACCAAACACAUACGAUUGUUUUUAAAACUCAUAUUAUUUUUUUAAAAAAAAAUUACUAAACCUUUAACUGAUUCUCUUACAACUGAUUAUUUCUACAGUACAAUUAACAACAAUUAUUUUAAAAACUAUAACAUUUUCAAACUAGCCCCAUGACAAUAUUGUUAUUGUUGUUUUUCUUACUCUUAUCAAUAAAACUACGUUGCACAUAAGUGCAUAAAAAUUCACACAAAAUAAACUAUUUAACUUUAGGGUAUUAAUUGAAAAAAAAAAUCAGAUUAAGGUGAAUAAAUAUCAGAAAAUAACAAAUAGAUAAACUCUCACACUCUUUAAAAAAAUUAAUUUUAUAAUUUUAUUUAAAACCAACAGAUAUUACCAAACUUAACGGAUCAAUGUUCCAAUGUUUUCUUUUUAAUUUCAAAACCAACAGAUAUUCUUUGUUCAUUAUAUGACCUCCAAACAAAUAAUUUCAUUAAUAAAAUAAUAAUGAAAAGUAUCGUGGUGAGUACAGAGUAAUUCGGUGGCUAAUAAAAGUCUCUAUUUUUCGUCUCUGUUUUUCAUUUUAACUCUUGGGGUUGGUGCCACUUCGGCCUUGGUCGGAGUGGUGGGCUGCUGCCCUCACAAGUAUUGUGAGGACAGUGGUUCAAGCCCCCACAAAUAUUUUUGUGGGGGCUAACGUACUUAUUUAUUUAAUAUUUCAAAAAUUUCUUCUCCCUCGUGCAAUACGAGUGGAGUAUGGACAUCCCUCCUCUAUAAGGGAUUAUUUGUCUGGGCAUGUACUUCACAGAAUUCAAUGUAAUAAUAUAAGUCUCAAUCAUAUAUUUUUGAUUGUAAAUAUCAAUAUAAUAUAUCUGCUAUAAUAGCAGUUGUAAAUAUCUGUGUAAUGCAAUAAUAUGAUAAUUAAUCAUUAUUCAAAAAAAAAACUCUUGGGGUUGGUAGGCUCGUGAAUGGUCCACGUAACCUCUGGACGUAACACUCAAACAAAGACAGCACAAGGCACAUGAAAAAUGCCUAAAAACCGUAAAACCGUGACGUGUUCAACAUAUUAAUAAAUUUAUACUGUGUUUUCUUUUUUUUUUUAAUACUGUGUUGAUAAAGCACUUACGAUGGAACGACCAAUUCUAUUACUUGCAAAACUAAUUAAUAUUUCACUCUAUCAUCUAACUAAUGGAAGGCCAUCUUAAUUGAGGUUGCAAUAGUUAGAAAGUAGCGGGAAGGGUGGCCAAUGCUCCAUAUUAAUUUGCAUCAAUCCCUUUCUGGUGAAGAAGUACGGGUGAAGUAGAGGUCAAAGUUAGAAGAUGAAGGGUGUGUUUGGGAAUUGAGAGUGAGGUGCUGUAGUUUUUUAGCUGCAGUUGCUGUGAAAUAAAAGUUAUAACUGUGGAAUAGAAGUUGAGAAAAAAAAUUUGUUAAGCUGCCAAAGCCCAGUUACAAAUGUUACCAAACACCUUAGUAGCUAGGCUUUGGCAGCCCAUCUACCCCAUCACACUCCCAAACGGAUUAGAAGGGGACCGGGAUUGCUUUGUCAUAUUUGAAAAUGAUUUUGAAAAAAUAAAAAUUAAGUUCAGAAUUUGGUAAAUUCCUUUAAAAUUUCUUUUAGCAAAAUCACUCUCUCCUUUAGAUUUUGAAAAGUAUGGAAUGAGUAGUUUUUUAAAAUUUAAUUUUGAAAUUCGGAUUCAUAUUUAAUAUAAUACCAUAUAUCAUAACAUGUAUUAUAAAAAUCUAAAAUUAUCCUUAUUCAAUCAAUUAAGAAGUAAAAUCUUACAUUUAAAGAUAUUAUCAUUAUCAAUUAUAUUUAGAUAAUAAAAAAUACAAUUAAUAAAAUAAAAAUAUUUAUUUUAGUUAUCAAUUAUUAUAUAUAUACAUAAAAUGUAAUUAUAUAAACAUAUUUAUAAAUGUAUGUGUAAAUUAAAUUUGUAGAUUUAUGUUUAUAUAGAUCAUUUGCAUUCUUAUCACAUUUUAAAAGUGAGAUUUAUUAAAUAUAUAUAUGAUUAUUUUUAAAAUUUACAGCACUUUUUAAAACAAAAGUAUCAAAAGUUUAAUUGAUUCCUUAUUUUUACUGUACAACUAACAGUAAGAUGUGUUUGGUUCAAGUAUAAAAUGAUGGGAUUGGACAAUUUUAAGAUUAAAUAAUCCUAAUGCAAUGUUUGGUACCAAAAAUAAUUGUGGGAUAAAAAUAGUGGACCCCACCAUUUAAUCCAACACAAUGUCAAAAUUUUAUCACAAAGGGGGGUGUGGGAUAAGCUAAAACUUAAACGUAGGAUAACAAAAAAAAAGCCCAAAAUUUUAUACAACACAGUGAUUUUUUUUUUUUUUUGAGUAUGUCAUCAUCCAAUGAUAGUAUAUAUGCCAGAACACUCUUUUGACGUUAAUGAUAUGUAAUAUUUUCAUAUAUACAGCUAGUGACAUUGUUAUGUAAUUUCUUUUUCAUUUAUAGAUUUAUAUUAUUAUUAUAUUUGUUGAUGAUAUUCUUGUUAUGUUUAUAAUUAUAUUAUUUAGUAAUUUAUAAGUUUAAAAACUAUAACAUGUUAAAUAUAAGAAAAACUUUAAGCGAAGAUUUUGUAUUUUUUAACAAAUUUACCAAUAAUUUUUUAUUUAAGUUAGAUUAUAUUCCAUGUCAUUUUAAAAUAAAUCUAAGAUAAUUUUGAUAAAUUAAUAAAUAAGACAUAUUAUUAGUUACUAACCAAUUUCAUGGCAUACCAAACAUGAGAUAUGAUUAUUUACAGUCUAAUCCAACAUUGCACCAAACGUAAUAGAGUAUUAUAUAUAAUCCAAUGUUAUCAAAUCCAAUCAUAUCUUAUCCAAUCCGAUCCGAUCCAGUCUAAUCCAAUUUGACAUACCAAACAAGCCCUAAUUAUGUUAAAAACUACAUCAUUACCAAACUGACCCUUAAUACAAUCUCAUACAUACAUACAUAUAUAUAUAUAUAUUAAAAAUUAAAAAUUAUCUUUAUUUAGUUAGGAAAUAAAACCAUUAUAUUUAAAUAGAUUAAUAUUAUUACUAAUUAUAUUCAGAUAACAAAAUUAAUAAAAUAAAAAUAUUUGUUUGAUUUAUCAAUUAUUAUACACACAUAUUUAUAAAUGCAUGCGUAAAUAAAAUUUUAUAGAUUUAGGCCAAGGCGGAUGUACGGUACAGCAGUAUCUUUAUUUAGUUAGGAAAUAAAACCAUUAUAUUUAAAUAGAUUAAUAUUAUUACUAAUUAUAUUCAGAUAACAAAAUUAAUAAAAUAAAAAUAUUUGUUUGAUUUAUCAAUUAUUAUACACACAUAUUUAUAAAUGCAUGCGUAAAUAAAAUUUUAUAGAUUUAUGUCUAUUUAAAUCAUUUGCAUUCUUAUAACAUUUUAAAAAAAGAAAAGAAAAGUGAUUUACCAAAUACAUGUAAUUGUUCUUCAAACUUACAACACUUUUAAAAUAGAAUUUAAUAAAUGUUUAAUUAAUUUUUUCACAGCUGAUUAUUUUUAUGGUAUAACUAACAAUAAUCUAUAAACUUAUGGUAAAUAUUUGUGUGAAUGUUGGUCCAUGUAAAGAAGUAAAAACAACGCAUAUAUCAAGCAAUAAGAUAUCAAAACUCUUAGUAAAAUACAUAUACUAAUGAAAGAAUGACAGCAAUGCAAUAAAUAAGAUUAUAAUAUAAAUUAUUAAAAUUGUAUAUUAAAAAUUGAUGUAUGAAAUUCUUUUUAUUUUAGUGAUAGAUAAUGUGAUAUAUUUGAAUAAUUUGAUUAAAUGAAAAGAAAAAUAACAAGUAUGGUUGUGGAGGAAAUAAACCAUUGAACUGUGGAAUGUUAUUAAUUAUUGCUAUUUCAUUAUGUAACGUCCUGAUAAUAAGUACAGUGUUAUAGUAUAUUGAUGGGUGGUGAUAUUGUCACCCCUUAAAUUGUGUAAAGUCAACCUCAUUUACAAAUUUUUUGAUAUAAAUUAAAAAGUACAUUAGUUUUAAUAAAUUAUAUAUUUAUUGAAUAAACUAGAACCGUUAGGGAGCUGUAAUGUUAGCACUGUUUUAACUUAUUAUAAAAAAAAAAGUUAUGAUUUGAUCAUAACUCUAAUUUAGAAAAGAAAAAAGAGUUGAAUUGCUAACAUACUUAAAAAUAAAAUAAAAACAUUAUUAUUAGAUGAAAAAUUGUAAAACUUAAGGGGGCAUUUGCAAGUCCGCCACUACUCAAUAGAGCAUUAUUCAGUACUCGUUAAUAUAUCUCGAACUUUUAGGUUUUUUUAAUAUAUUUUUAAUACAUUUUCUAGAACAUUUAGAUAAAAAGAGUCAGUACUCCAAUUGAGUUGUGAAUAAACAUUUAGAUAAAAAGAGUCAAUACUCCAAUUGAGUUGUGAAUAAACUCAUGUUAAAAAAAAAAAAACUCAUUUUCACACUUGAAACGAUUAGUAAAUGGGUGAUACGAAUUUAACUUGGUCAAUAAUAUAUACCAUCUUAAGUUAACUUCAACUCAUUGAUCUUCUAUAGGGUUGAUCAGCCUGCCACAAGGCCCACAAAUUAUCACCUCUAAUGCUUUUGCAACAGUCGUUAUAAAUGCUGACAAAAUGAAACUUCUAUAUAUUUUGGUUUUUUUUUAUUUCUAUGAAAUAUAAGGCCCUUAUGGCAAAUUUCCAUCCAGCGUGAAAUUUGCUAGUUUGGCCUUGGUACUGUGGCACAUGCGUCAUGCAUGCGUGGCUGAGAUGCUUCUAAAACUAAUAAAUUAUGAAGAAUUCCAAAUUCGUACCAAAAAUAAGAGAAUAGGAGCUUGUCAUAGGUGUCCGCGGAUCGGAUUUUAUGGGUUAAACAUUAAUUCAUAUUUGAUUCGUGAUUUUGUAGAUUAUAAAUUUUUAAUUUAAUUCAAUUUAUGGAUUAGUGAAACUCAAUACAAAUUCAAUCCAUAUAUAUGCAAAUUAGAUGCGGAUUUAACCCAAUGCAUAUUCAAUCCAUCAUUUGGCGGAUUGAUUUGCAAAUUAAAAGUUUUUAAUUUUGUCCAAUCUAAAAAGUAAUUAAAUUAAAAAAAUCUAAUAUAUAAAUAAUUGAUUAAAUAAAAAAAUCUAAUGUAAAAAUAAUUUUACUACCAAUUAAAUUCAAAAUUGAACAAGAUUUAAAUAAAUUUAGAAUAAUACAUUCAAAAUUUUAAAAUAUAACACACCGAAAAAAAAAUUCAUUUAUUUAGAUCAAUACAUGAAAAUUAACUAAAAUUAUGAAUUUAAAUGUUGAAACUUGAAAGCUUGGAUGUAACAGGAAGAAUUUAAGAAACUUGAAGAGCUUGAAAAGAAAGUAAGAAAUUAAGUUUAAUUACCUCAAGUGGUGAAGUGAAACAGUGAUUGGCUUGUGCGUGCGGUGGGAUAGAGAUUUGGUGUUAUAUGUCAAAAUAUUUUGUUUGGCUUGGGGUUUUUGUUUUGCUUUAGAAAUUUUAAUGUUUAGGAAACUAUAUUUGCUUAUUUAAUUAUUUCUUAUUUUAUAUUGUUAUCGAAUAAAAUAUAAUAUUUUGUUAAUUUAGCUAUAAUUUUAUGCUGAAUAUAUUUAUUUAAAACGAUUUUAUUAAAUAAAUGUGCAUAUUUAACGAAGGUCUCUGAAAUUUCAACCUGCCUGCUAAUGAUAGCCAAUACGGCACGACCCACCAAAUGUCGGCCCACGCGGGCUUGUGGGCCAUGACGACUUUUUUUGUAAGGGCCCGGCACGGCCCACGGCACGAGUCCGUGCCCAAAAAAAGCCCACCUACCUUUUUUUUUUUUGUCCACAUGUUCAGCGUGCCUAAAAAAACCCACGUGCCUGACGUGCUUUUUUAAGCCCACCAGCCUAAUAGUAACAACAACAACAACAAUAAUAAUAAUUUCAUAGAAAUAAUUAAUGAAAAAUAAAAUAACAAUUCUAGAAUAACAAUUACAUCUAAUUUUAUUUGAACAACUAAUAUUAUAAUUGCACAUAAACUCUAUUGAAUGAAAAUGUAAUUUUUAAUUUAUUAUAAAAAUAUUUUGUUCAUAAUUUUAUUUUUUUGUGCGUAAAUAUGAAAAAUAUUUCAUUCACAAAUGAAACAUAUCUCCAUUAACUAUUAACUAAGUUAUGAUUUCAUAAAUGAAAUAUUAAUGUCGUAAAAUUUUUUAUUUAUCAUUUAUAAAAUCAUGAUAUUUAUUUAUCCAUUUAAUAAAUUAUAAACAUAAAAAAAUUAGAAUACUUAUUUAAACUAGGACUUAAAUUAAUUUUAAAAAGCCUAUACUAAAAAAAUAUAUUAAAAUUUUUAAUUUCAAGGUAUUUAUAAAAUCAUGAUAUUUUAUAUUUAUUUUUCAUUAAAAAAUUUUAUUUUGAUAUACUUUGGCCCACGUGCUAUUGGUGGCCCACGGGCCGCGUGCUUAGCCCACCAAUAAAGUGUGCUUAUUACAUGCCUUUUCGCGUGCCGUGUUUUGCCCCAUCUCUAAUCAUACCGUGCUUUUAAGGCCUGCGUGCCUAAAAUUCUAGGCCCGCCAGCCGUGCCGUGCCGUGCCGUGCCUCGUGCCGCCUGGCCCAUUGGCCAUCCCUACUGCCCGCCAACCACAUUUGUCCAAGAUCAAUUUGUAGGAAAAAAAUUUGAAAAUCAAUAAUUUAUUUAAUUAAUUGUUAAUGUAGGCAUUUGAAUCCCCACAAAAUCUGGGUGUCAGUUCUAGACUUCUGGUGAUAUAUUUUUCUAAUUAAGGAAUAAAAUAUUUUUGUCAUUUUUUUAAUAUUUUAAUUUACCAGGCAUAUCAACUAAUUAAUUUUUCUACUUAGACUAUUAAUUCAUUACGUGCGCAAUCUGUAGCCCGGCGCUCCAAUCCCAUGCAUGUUACACACAACUCAAUCAUUAUUUAUUUAUUUAUUUAUUUUGACCAACAACUCAAUGUUUUUUAUAGAGCUGUCAAAAUUUGACACGACCCGAUUACCCGACACGAACACGACAUAAAUAAAUGGGUAUGGGUCGUCAAAUUUAACACGAUUAUUAAAUGGGUCGGGUCCGGGUCAACACGAUUUUUUUCCGUGUCGGGUUUUGGGUUAAAAUUCUUGACCCAUUUACCCGAUCAAUGACCCGAUUAUAUUUUCUAUUUUAAAAUAAUUUACAUAUUCUUAUAAUUAAAACUCAAAUAUUAGAGAUGAUUUUCUUUUUUUUUAUUCUUUAAAAGGGUGAUAUAUUUUAUAAUAUCGAUAAAUUAUGUAUGUAUGUAUUUAUGUACAUACGUAUGUAUGAUAGUGUGGAAAUAUUUUAUGUAACUUUUGUUCAAUAUAUAGAUAUUAAACGGGUUAUUGGGUAACCCGAUUAUUUUUCCGUGUCGGGUUUGGGUCUCAAUAUUUUGACACGAUUAUUAAAUGGGUCGGGUUUGGGUCGACCUAAAUUUGACACGACACGAAACUGACACGACAUGAACACGACCCGAUGACCCGUUUUGCCAGCUCUAGUUUUUUAAUAUGAAAAGGUAUUGGUUAGCUUUGUCUUUAGUUUUUUCAACUUAUAAUAAGUUUGUAUUAAGGCUCCCUUUGGUACAGAUUUUCAAGUAAAACUUAUUUAGGGUUAUUUUUAGGGACCUCCCCUGAGGUUUGGUGUAUUAACAAUCUGAUAGAAAGUAUUCACGUAAUUACAAAGACCUCCCCUGACAUUUGUAUUAUGUUAAGUGGACUGUUAUUGACUAUUGAAAAUCCAAAAAUACCCUUCCUGCCAAAAUAUUUCUUUAUUCACUGAUGAACUGAUGGGUAAUUCGUGCCAAAAUCACAAAUUACUUAAGAAGAUGAAAAUAUCCAUUGGAUAAAAAAAAUGAAAUUGCUUAAUAAAAAAAUUGACAUUGCAUAAUAAUAAAAAAAAUUGAAAUAAUGUGCGGCGGCAUAGCUGCAUCUUGCAUGCAUAUUAUUAUUGUGAUUUUUUUAUUACAAACUCCAUCCUGCAUGCUUAUUAUUAUUGUGAUUUUUUUUAUUACAAACUACUUCAUAACUAAUACAUGCCACAAGAGCAGAGCUAUUAAAAGAAAUGAUUUUCAUAUUGUAAACUUGAUAGUACAGGUGUUGGCACCGACCAUAAAACCCUUAUGAUACCAAUCUUUGCUCCAUCCAUAUUUAAAUCCAGAUCAAGUAAAUAUUAAAUUGGAUUUCAGGUCCUGAAAAUCCCACUCUAUAAUUGAUAUCUUCGAGUUUUGUUGGUGCCUCAAACCUGGAUCUAGAGCAUCAUCUCUGUCAUACUCGGAACACCUAAACUAAUGGACUUGCUGCAGCUGCUUAUUCUUCUUCUGAAAUGAUGCACGCAGAUAGAUUACAGACUUUGAAAUAAGAAAUACAAUAAACAACAUGUAAUCGAACUUAAGAUUUCGGCAAACUUGUUUGAAAAUUAGAAUCAAACAAGGAAAAUGGCAAGUCAAUAUUUUUUAAUCUAGAAAAAGGGCAAUUUCAAAGUUUAUCACAUGCCAAAUUCAUAGUCUUGCAUCCACUAUUUUCUAGUUUGAAUAACAAACAAAAGCCUUAGACAAAAACACAGAGAACAUCUCACAUGGGAGCAAAAAUUGUGUGUAGAACAAUAUACUUAAGUUACAUGUGAUUACAAUCACAUUAUUUAGCAAAUACAAAAUUACCUUCUCAAAAAAAAAAAAAAAAAAAAAAACACCACCAAAUUAUUGAAGGUAUUACAACAAUAAGGCAAAAGAACACCAAAGGCAUGCACAAACCGAAACUAACACACAACUCAAUUAGUGUCAUGACCCCAAACUGAACAAUCAUAUAAACCAUUGUGGGCUCUCUAAAAGAUUAUCACAUUAUAAGCAAACAGAAACCUAUAUUUGAUGAACUACAUCUAGUACUUACACAACUCUUAAAUCAUUAGGAAAUUGCUCUUAUCAGUCAUUACCCAAUAGUUUUUUUCAACUCAACACUAACAACCCCAAAGAGAAACAACAUCCAGCACCAUUUUCAUUAAUUAAAACAGACCCAUUGUUAUUUUUAAUCAAUAAAAUAACAACAAUAUCGUGUAAGCCACUGAUUCAAGCAUUCAAGCUGUGUUUUCGAAGACUGACCUCUUCUUGCUAUCUAAUUCCAGUCACGAUAGACGCUAGAUGCCGGCAAUACUCGCUUCUUGGAAGCUCUGGACCACCGCACGACGUCAUCUUGUGCAGUAGAUGAAAAUAAAUCAAUGAUUUCAGAAAUUAUUUGUGAGUUGCAGACGCUUCUUCUCCAUGGAUGAAAAUGAUGGUGGGUUUUGUUCAAGUGUAAGCUGUGUUUACGAGGAGAAGUACACUUUGUGAAAAAAUCAUUUUCUUUCAUCUACUGGAUAAUGACUUUGGACUGGGUAAUGGUGUGUUUAAGUCUCUAUUUCACGGACAUUGAAGCAUAUUUUGCUUGAAUUUUGAUUUUGUUUAAAUUUCAAGUUUACUUUUACUUGUUUACCCUUUUAUACUGACGCUUAUGUAUUUUUAUACUAACGUUAAGGGAGGUCUUUGUAAUUAUAUGAAUACUUUCUAUCAGACUGUUAAUACAACAAACCUCAGGGGAGGUCCCUAAAAAUAACCCAACUUAUUUAAAUAGAACUUUUACAAAAAAAAAUUUAGUUAUUUGGUUGUCAAUAAACUUUUCAAGUAUACUUUGUUUGGUACAGCUUUUCAAGUAAAACUUAUUUAAGUAGAGCUUUUACAAAAAAAAAAAAAUUAGUUGUUUGGUUGUCAAUAAAAAUUUUUAUUAAAAAAAAUAUGAAAUUACUUUAUUAGUCAAGUUUUUUUAAAGUUAUGCUAUGAAAAGAAUAAAAUAAGAUUGUCAAAUAAAUAGAAAAUAUUUUAAAUAUUUUAACAUUUAAAAAAACUUUUUAACCUUUAUUUUCAAAAAUCUAAAAUUUAAACUUUUACUAGUAAAGGCAAAAUAAUUUAUUUAAACUUCAAAAGCUUUAUUAGAAAAAUAAUCAAACAAUAACAAAAAUUAUUAUAAAAGCUUAUCGAAUUAAAUAAGUACUUAUAGUUAUUAAAGAAGUUAUAUCUAACAGACACUAAUGCCGAAAGCCCCUUCUAAUUGUGGGUGUAAAAGUUUGAAUUAUGCAUACGGUUAAGGAGUUAAGGUGUGUUUGGCAACUGCAUUAAGUGGAAAUUUUUAUUUUGUUUCGAAUAAAAAUACAGCAAGCUCGUGUUCGGCUCAAAAUAAUGGAACGUUUAAUUUGCAACCGUCGGCGGACGAAGCACACCGUUCACGGCCCUUCGUAUAAAAUUGCAUAUGUAAACGUAAAUAGGUCCGGAUUCAGAUUCGUUGCUGUAGAGAGUGGCACGCACGAUCGGGCUGCUGUCGGUGGUAGGUUGGCAUUGGAAUUCUCAUCACGCGCUUCCCCAGGCGCCUACUUAUGGCAAAUUGACACGUGACGCGUGUGGAUUGAAUGGACAGAGUCCCGGGCAGUGUGUCCAAAGCUGCCAACCGUGCUCUGAUUUUUGUCAUCCAUAAUGGCUAACGACUAACGAGGGAGAUUUCCGGGCAGAAAGAAAUUGUUGUCGUUUCUGAAGGGGAAAAAAAAGUUAUUUAAUUUGUUGUUGAAGACAAAAUGAAGAUCUAAAUAAAUAAUGGCUAAUUUUGAGUGUAAAGCAACGGUAAAUGCAUUAUUAAAUUAGAUUUAGGGUCUGAUUGAGAUUAUUUUUAGAUUUAAAAUUAAUUUUGAAAAGUUAAAAUUAAUUUUGAUGUUUAUUAAUUUUUAUUAAAAAUUAUUUUUGUCAAAAUCUCUCAUCCUCCAGCAUAUUAUAAAAAAUAAGGAAGAAAUAAUUUUUUAAAAUUUAAUUUUAAGAAUCAGUUUUAUACUUAAUAUAAUCCACAUAUAUCCUCGUAAAUAUUAUAAAAAUUUAAAAUUAUUCUUAUUUAUUUAGGAUAUAAAAUUAUUAAAUUCAAACAUAUUAUUAUUAUUAUUAUUAUUGUUAUUAUUAUUAUUAUUAUUAUAAAUUCACACACGCACACACAUACUUAUAAAUUUAUAAAUAAACUUUAUUUAACAUUUUGUUCACUUAAAUCAUUUAUAUUCUUAUAGCAGUUUAACAUUAUGAUUUACCAAACACAGAUAAUUAUUUUUAAAAUCCAUAAUAUUUUUUAAAAUAAAUUUUAAUAAAUGUUUAACUUAUUAUUCUGACAACUGAUUUUUUUUGUAAGGUAUAACCAUUAAUAAUAAAUAUUUUAAAAGUUACAGUAUCCCCAAAUUGGCCCUUACUAAUACUCUGCGUUGCCAACUAAAUACUAAUUGUAACAUUAAACAUCUGGAAUAUUUUUCUCUAACGAAACAACACAAUUAAUUUCCCUCUAAAAAAGAAAAAGAAAAAGAAAAAAUAAACUACCAACCCCACCCCUUUAGACAGCAGAGUUUUAGCUGAGGCGGCUUGCUUGCAUAAGCAUUAAGGCUGCUCUUCACCAACCAUUGAACAUUCUUUCCAUUUGAUUGUUACACUUUACUUCGCCAUCUCAUGUCCAUGUACAUUGUUUUGAAAUGAAGACUUUGCGUACAACUAAUCUUUUUCAAUUCAUAAUAAAAACUCUUUUAAUUAGUUAAUAGCUAUAGCUUCCAAUUGAGACUAUAUAUAAAAAUCCAUAUUGACUGACCAAACCAAUAAUUUUUAAUUGGCUUGAGCAUUGUCUUACUUACUUCAAAAUCGUCACUCUCUUUGAAAAGAACAUGAGAGAGUUCACCUCCAUCUCAACCCUUAACCCUAUAUCUCAGUCAAGAGAUUAUUCAUGGAAAAUUCAGAAAAAAGAAAUGUUGCAAUAUUUACGAAACUCACGUCACGUGAGGUAAGAUAAAUUAUUCCUUUCUGCUUUAAUUCAUGUACAUAAUCAUGAGAAUAACUUUAAUUAUAGUUUAUUUCUCCGUUUUAAGAUUUUUCCUUUUUUUUUUUUAAUUAAUUAAUUAUAGUUCAUUCAUUAAUCCCAUAAGAAAUUAACACCUUUGCCGGUAAAGUCACACAUACAACAAUAUUUUAGAACAAAAGGGAAGAUCAUGCACGAUCAUGAUGUUUUAUUAUAUCUCUAGCAAUAUAAUUAUCUUAUAAUUAAUUAAAAACAAAACAGGUAAUUAAGCCAAAGUGGAUGGCAUGCAUCAAUCAUCAUGCAGAACACCUCCCCUUGUUUUAAAUAUAAAUAAAAGAAAUUUGUGCCCAGAAGACUUAAUUAAUACUUCUCGUUUCUGAAGUGCUCACAUGAUAUAUAGUCGGACGCAUUAUAUUUAAUUUCAUGAAUUAAUCGUACGGUUGUAUUUUGAGAGAGAGAGAGAGAGAGAGAGUGACUGAGUAAGAUAUGGCUUAAUUUAACCAAAUCUACGUAUAAAAUUUUAAAAUGAAUUUUUGAGUUUUAACUUAGGAAUUGUCUAUGAAUAAAAGUGUUAAUCAAAUAUUUCGUGUAAAAACAGUCAGCUGUAACAUUUUCGGUUGCUUUAACAAAACUGUAUAUUUCUGUAAUUUCCUAUAUGGGCCAAAAGGAACAUUUUUCUCAGAAAUUAAAAACUUAUGGUGAAAAAGAUAAGAAAACCAACAGGUUCAAAGGUGCGAGUAAACUGGGCUCUGGUGCGCCCAACUCCCUCUUUUGAUUUUGAGACUCUAUUGACCAUUGAGUUUGAGGCCCCAACGGCCCAGUUUAAAACUGUUAUGAAAAGAAAAAAAAUAUAACUAUAAAAUUAAAAUUAAUAAUGUUUGAUAAAUAUAAUUUUUAAAUAAUAAUUUGACAAAAAUAAUAUAGGGUCUUGUGUAUAUUUUUAUUUGGCAUUUCAAUUAAUCUGCUUAUAUAUAUAUAUAUAUAAGUUAAUCUAUAUUUCUUGCAAGAAGAUAGUAUUUCUUUAAUUAAAGUCAUAACUAAUAUAUAAAUUAUCAACUAACCAUCAAACAUUUAUCUCAUUUUAUCUCCACCACGAUCAUCACCAUUCAUCCUGUCACGAUCUUUAUGUAACUACAAUUAUUUUUUCUUUAAUAAUGUCAACCCACCAACCCCAUAACAAUAUCUCCAAACAUCUCAUCUCAAAAUUCCUAAUAACAUAAGUGUUUAUGUAUGAAAGAAAAUGUGAAAUAUAUAAUCAAAAAGUAGUUUAAUAAUAUAAUGUUUAAAAAUUAUGGUAAAAAUAAGUGAGAGUUUGGCAUGGCAAGUUAAUAAAAAGAUAAAAGCUCGGACACUUGAUGCAUCAAAGUAGCAAUGUCUGUCCAUCAUUAUCAUCAUGCGGGUUUAGGUGCUUCUCAUGAUAGCAUUAGCUGGUAAGACCAUCAUGCAUCGUACUUUCAUUGUUAUACAUUUUGAAGGUAAGAAUGGUUAUGUUACGUCCCUCCGAUUAGGUGUAUUUUUCUUCUUCUUCUUCUUCUUUUUCUUCUUCUUGUACGUAAUAAUUUCUCUUUCUUCCAUGAAGAUUUCUUUCUCUCUUUCUUUUUUUUUUUUUUAUUAUAAAUAAAAUGAUAAGAACUAAUUUCCUUACUAAUUGGUAGGGUCGUUUAAUGGUUCAGAUCCAUUAGAUUUUGUCAAAUUCAAGUCCAAUCCAUCAUAUAUUCCAUUUUAUAUUCCGGAUCCGAUCACUAAUAGAAAUCCAUUAUAAUUUAAAACAAUAAAACGUCGAAUCCAAUUUAAUUCGAUAUGAUCAAUCCAAUUAAAAUAAAAAUUUACAAAUAAAAAUCAUUAGUUGCUCUCUCCAGUUAUAAUUCUUAACAAUUAAAAAAAAUACAAAAUAUCAACUCCUUUAAUAUUUCAUGAUUCAUGUACUUUAUUAUCAUAUGGUUGGAAAAAAAAGUUGAAAUUUGAAUAUUAAAAGCAAAUGUUGGUUGCGACCUGCUGUUUGUAUUCUAUAUUGUUAUAGUAUAUUUAUAGUUAUUUUUUUAGCAAGUUAAAUAUAAAAGUGACAUAUAGUUUUUUUUUAUAAAAAAAAAUAAAUAAAGAAAAUAAAAAAUUAAUUGGUUGGAUUGGUUUAUAUUGGAUUUGAACAUAUAGAUCCAUAGACCAAUCUAAUAACAUUAUAUUUUUUAUUUUGCAAUCUUAUCCAAUCCAAUCAAAAUGUCAAUAUGACAAAAGUUGGAUUGGUUUUGAUCAGAUCGAUUGGUUUGAUUGGAUUGAAUUGAAUUAGAUCUUGAACAUCCUACCAAUUAGACUUUCCGUGAUUUUUUUUUUUCCAAAUUUAAUAAAGAGACUUCCCAUGAAUGUUAAAUGCAGUUUUAUUGAUGAAUUCUGCAAUUUUAAGAAAUGUUUGAUACACGAAUAAUGCAUCUCAUCAACCAAGUAACUGCGUCCCCUGCAGCAGCCGCGGCUUCAACUGGAAUACUGCAGCCACACCGGUCUUGAGACUCAACAUUCGGCCGAAACUCAAGCAAAAGUUGAACAAUAUCAGGCCUGCUUUGAGCUAUAGCAAUAUGAAGCAAUGUUUGUCCCUGCGCACCAGCAGAAUCAGCUGGGUGGGUUCCAAGCAGGGUCACUCUGUUCAAGAACCUCUCUUAUCUCAUCCAUUUCACCAUCCUUAACUAGCUGAACCACAACAUGGGACCCAACAAACAUGAUCUUGAUUCCUAUUGAUGAACGCUGGCUUCUUCCUUCUUGUGAACCAGUCACCAGGAACCGAAUCAAGCAUCAAUGUUGCAUCUUUAAUUGCAGCUGCAGGAACGACAACGCUAUGCAAGAGGAAGGAAUCAUCACAGUGAGGGAAAGUAUGAAGGAGAACUGAUCCUGGAGGAAGAUGAUACGCAAUCUCUAUGCUUACUGUUCCGAGUGGUUGCAUUGACCUGAAUAGUUCGAUCUAUUUCUCGUGUAUCUACUUGCGCUGCACUUUCACUCGAAGAACCUACAAAAUUAUUCAUAACCCGGCAUAAAAAAGACGUAAAGUUUUCAGCGCGAGCAUGGUAACUUCAAAACCCGUUUCAUACCUAUCAUAUUUCAUUCGUCCCGCACCCUCAUUUAAAAGACUAGAGCUUAUAAAAACUAGAAGUACCUUACCCAGAACAUAAAAGCAGACAAAACCCAGUCGAGUAUAAAUAUAACGUUGAAUAACACCUACCAUUUACCAUUUCAUUCAAGAACACCACACAAUUAACGAAACCAACAUCGGUAUGUUUUCAGCCGUUGUACUUUCAACUUAAUUUUGAAAGCGCGGCAGCUAAAGCCUAAACUGUUGUUUGAUAAAAGUCCACCCACUGACUGCUACCUGGCGGCUACCGAUUCCAUUCAAUAGCAGUCAUAAAAUAAAAAGUACAAAACAAACCUAUGUACAAAAAAGGCAAUGAAGCAGCCAUGGAUUCAGUUAUUUGCAUGUUUGGGAUUGUGGUUGAUUCCAAAUUGAGAAUAUACUGCGAAAUUAUGUUUGAUAAGCAUUUAUCUGAUGAUUGCUACUUUAUUGAGUGCCUGUUUGGUAUGGCUUAUUUAAAAGCCAUAAGUGCUUAUUUAAUCGUAUAAGCACUUUUUUAAAAUUUUUAUGGUGUUUGGUUAUUUUUUUAGUAGAGUUUUUUUAGCUUAAAUAAGCUAAUUUACCUCUACUAGCAAAAGCCCAAAAUUUGAGCUUUUGGGAGUAGAGGUUAAAGAGCUUAUCUAAAAAAUAUAUAAUAAAAAAAAUAUCAUACAGUUUAAUGAUUCAAAAGUGUUUUUUUUAUUGACAACCAAACACCCAAUGACUUUUUGUCCAAAAACUCUAUUGGUAUAAGCUCUACUGCUAUAAGCUCUAUUGUUAUAAGCUCUAUUUAAUAAGCUGUACCAAACGGAGCCUAAAGCAUUCAUUUUUUUUUUUCGCGUUUGGCCUCUUCACUUUUUAAAAAAUUUUAUGGUGUUUGGUUAUUUUUUUAGUAGAGUUUUUUUAGCUUAAAUAAGCUAAUUUACCUCUACUAGCAAAAGCCCAAAAUUUGAGCUUUUGGGAGUAGAGGUUAAAGAGCUUAUCUAAAAAAUAUAUAAUAAAAAAAAUAUCAUACAGUUUAAUGAUUCAAAAGUGUUUUUUUUAUUGACAACCAAACACCCAAUGACUUUUUGUCCAAAAACUCUAUUGGUAUAAGCUCUAUUGUUAUAAGCUCUAUUUAAUAAGCUGUACCAAACGGAGCCUGAGUCUUCAAAGAAAAACUCAAUCAACUAAUGCUCGAUUUUUUUUUUUAAAUGACAAAUCAAAAAGUAUUUUGGAGUAGAUUCUCAAAAGAGUGAUUAUUUGAUAAUCCACCAUAAUCCCACUUAGUUAUCAGAAAUAAAUUAAAAUCCGACGAAUGUUACUUAAGCCAAACAGCAUUAUUUUAUUUUGACCACAAGGACCACAACCCUCAAGCUGUCAAGCAACCGUUACCGUUAACGACCAAUCUUUCACCUCUCCGAAUCUUUGCAAGUCACUAUCAAGCAACCGUUACUAAUAUUUAAUCAAUUAUUAGGAUUAUUGGAUUUCUCAAAUACCUUAUGUACUUUGGUUCACUUUCUACUAAAAUAAAUAUUACAGGAGCUUUCAAAGUCUAGGCUAAGGUUGUUGUAAACAUAGAGAGAUUCAGAGAUAUAACAGCUUGUAAUUACAUACCACAAAGCAUAACUUUGUUCGAAUGAUAAUGAUCAUAAUCCAGAUUAUAGACGUAGAGAGAGGAGAAGUCGUACUUGAGGGGCAAAACGCGGCGUUUUGGCUCGUGGAUGAGGUGCUGCUCCUGAUCGUCGUAGAUUGAAGGGAGGAGAGGUCGGUCGAGGAAGUUUAGGAGACGGUGGAGGCUGAAUUGGUGAAUUUCGAUGAAGACUGACGAAUCCAAUGGGGCUUGAGGGUUUGAUUUGCAAAGAUGAAAGAUAAGAGCAUUGUUUUGGUUUCUGUGCAAAAAAAAAAAAAAAAAACAUGACAAGCGUUGUUUUGGUUUUGGUUCUAAAAAGAUGAAAAUUUGACUGCAAUGGAUCCAUACGCAGUCGGUGUCAAAUAAGAGGAGAAACAAAUAUGUUAAUCACUCGCUCAAUCACUCAUGCGAAGUGCCUUUUUUUUCGUUGCUUUGGCUUCUGAGAAAUAUAUGCAUCAGAUAUUACAACUCUCGAGGAUAAUGCAUUUUGUUCCGGUUUUGACUGAUAUUUAGUGGCAUUUGAUAAACUGAUACCUCAGAACCUGGUAGAGAGUUUAUUAAAUACAAAGAGAACAAAAAUAUAUGACUAUAUAAGCUUUUACACGGUUGAAGAUCCGGUCAAAUUGGCUUUAGUUAGCAAGAUCAUUUAAAACUUUCAAAAAACGAAUGGUAUCAAAAAGCUCUGAGAAAAAGCGGAAAAAAGGCACCACAAAGAUCUUGCAAUUAUUAUCACAGCUUGAUAAGACAUGGAAAUGUAUCUUACAAAUUGGCCUUCCAAGCAUCAAAGAAUUGGGUGGCGACAACUCCCAUUCCUAGCUGCUACCGUGGCCAGUCCCUUCUAACUAAAAUGGGACAGGACCAAAAGCAAGGUCUCUCCCACUCUCCUUAUGUAUAUAAAAUUCCCUACAUUCGAAUAAAACUACAGAAAAAGAUUUGCACAUCAUCUUCUUUCACCUUAUUUUGCAAUCUUCAAGAGUUUGGAAGAUUUCAAAGCACUUGUUAGAAUGUAGCACUCCAUUAAGCAUUCUCACCUUCCCCACACCCCAAUGGACCUCCUUAAUCCUAUCGGCAGACCUACAAAUUCUGCUGCAACUCCAAUCAAAUAAAGCAACACAAUUGUUGCCUGCCUAAGCCUUCCACUCACAGCCUGCAAUGACAAGUUCAUGAUACAAAAUCAGAAACAUUAAUAAACAAAAAGAUAUUACCAUUACUUGCAGAGGGGGAUUUGUUGCAAUUAGUAAAUGCCAUACUUAUCACUUUCAUUGCAGAUAUCAUCAUCAUCAUAAUACUAGCAAUCCAGCACUAAUAGUCAGAAUAAUAAUAAUAGUAGCAUGAAUAAAGAAUUUCUGCAGAGUAAGCUCUAAAGAUGCCGAAAGUGUCAUCUAUUAUGUUAAUAAUAAAAAAGUCUAUCAAGAAUUCAAGGAAAGAAAACUCAUUAACAAAGAACUAAACUUUUUAAUAAUGUUUAAUAAACUACGUACCUAUGAUUUUCUAUUAUUAACAUAAAUGACACUACGUACAACUGAUUUUCGCUUUCUAAUGUUUCAAAUCAUACCGAGAAAUAUAACAAUUACCAAGUCAGUAAGUAGCACAAUUACUUAAUAAGACUUUGACUUGUCUAACCCAAAAUUGUACCCAAUUCUAUACUCUACCAUGAAAAGCUUAUGAAGCCGAACUUACUUUGACCAAACAGUACUAUUAGCUCAGUUAAAGGAAACCACAAUUGAACAAAGUUCAGCUGAAAUAACUGAACUAAAAAAACUUGAUAAAAUUAAAAGUAACUUAUAACAGUUUAGUAAAGAAGCAUACAAAACAUGAAGAUAAAUAAACAUAGGUCUAUUUUCUUGACACUACCAGGUCCUUUCCUUUUUUUUUUUUCAGAUAAGAUCUCGAUACUACCAAGUUUUGGAUUCAAAAUCACCAUAUUACAAUAAUAGUUGUGAUUCAUGGGAUACAAUAUGUAGCAGCUUAUAUGUCGGCAAUUAUAGUCAAAGAUGGUUGUCAAACAUCAUCGCAAAUCAAGAAGCUAAUAAAGACCAUGUCACACUACAUUAACAUAUAUCAGUUCUUUGAUACAAAGAUAUUGAAUGUUAUACAUUUCUAAUCCCAAGUCCUGAAAUACAAAACAAAAGUUCACUUCACACAGUCAUAAAGCUAGACUGCUAGAUAAAUGGACAAUAGGCAUUGGAUAUGGGUCAAUAAACUAUUAAGCUAAUUAAUGCACACGAAGGAAUCCGUUAGAGCUAGUAAAAUAGCCCUUACCAGAGAACUCGCAGAAGCAUUCAAUUUCCUCAAAGGAGAUAACUUACAACAUAAACAUUUUGAUAAGCAGCAACACACAUAAAAUAGCUUCACUCACUAGCAACAGAGCAACUUCUUCAACACAUUAAUAAAUCCAUUUUCAUUUUUAAACAACAAAAUAAUGCCCAGUUUCUCCAGCACAAAUAGGGUAAGCAGUAAUAGAAAAACAUGAUACAUAGGAAUUACCGGCCUCAAGAAAUCUCCAAGCUUUCUGUCCUCUGCUUCAAUUGCUCAAUCAAGAAUGCCCCAGACGUUGCGCUAGCGUGGUGGUGGAGCGUCGCGAAGCGUGUGGCGGCGGUGUCGGCGAAGGCAGGUCAUGAAGAUAGUUGGUGUCGCGCAGCGAAGGCAGUGCAGCUGGUGUCAUGCGGCGAAGGCAAAUCGCGUGGUGGUGGAGUUGGGGUCGCGCGGCAGUGGCGGUGCGGUGCUGAGGCAUAAUAGUGGCGGUGGCGUUGUGCGACAGUGGCAGUGUGGAGGCAGAUUGCGUGGAGCUGGCGGUGUUGAGGCAGAUCGCGUGGAGGCAGAUGCCGCGGUGGUGGAGUUGCUGUCGCGAUCAACGCCUGUGAAAGGGAAUGAAAGUGAAGGAGAUACCUACAAAAGAAAGAACGAGUGAAAUUUUUUUUUUUGUUCAAGGGUUUCAAACCCACAUAAACCCGACUCUCACACGGGUUCAGUAAGUUUAUGCGGGUUUGACUGCAUUACAAAUUGGUAUGACCACAACAACAGUACAAUGAUUGGUAAUUACCAAACAUGCUAUUUAUGUUGGUAUUAAAUUAAUUUAAUACAAUGAGGAGUGGUAAUAUCAUACAAUGAGGACUGUUAAAUAUGGUGUGUUUAAUAUGUUGUAUUGUAUUAUAUUAUUUUAAUACAAAUAUAUUAUAUUAUCUUGUAUUAUAAUAUAAAAUAAUGAAAAAUAUCGAAUUUCAAUAUAUAAAAAAAAAAUAAAUAUAUUUUGUUAUAUUCGAUCUGCUGUACGGCCAAGGCGGAUGUACGGUACAGCAGAUAAGAAUUUAAAUACAUACACUUAUAAUACAACUUAGUUUUUCCACAUUGUCGAGGGAUCAAAACAACCCAUCAUUGGAGUCCAAUAAGUUAUGUGGCGACACAAAAAAGUAAUUCUAUAUUUUUUACGUCAUAAAUAUGUAAAAAAAAUUGUAUUAUAUCUUAUUAUUAUUAGUUUUUUUUCUUCAGUUUUGACAAGUAUAGUUUUCUUGUUGAGUGGCUCAACAAGGCUGGUUACAAUUUCGAAAUAAUGUUCCAUCUGUAUCUGUUUUCCUUUUGUUUUUGAUUUUGUAGUAUAGUUAAUUUGUACGAAUUUGUUGCCUGGUUGGUUUUUAUGCUGAAAAGUCAGUUCAUUGGAAAUGACAGAAAAUUGUUUUUCUUUUUCAUUUUUACAGAAAGAGAUUUGCAACGUUAUAAAAGUAAGAGAUCCUAAGAGAUCCCUGAAUCAUAUUAAAUAUUAAACUUAAGAUACAGUCAAGGCUUUUAUUAUGUUACUAAUCAUGUAACGAAUAUAAUUAUGUAGCAGUCGUUAAAUACAAAUUUAACAGUUAUAAAAAUAACAUGAUUUUAUUAUCUUAUAUUUCUAUAAUCGUUGAAUUUUUAUCUGCUGUACCGUACAUCCGCCUUGGCCGUACAGCAGUAUUGAAUUUUAAAAAUUUAAUAUUAUUUUUUUAAUAUAAAUAUUAAAAAAUAUCAUAAUUCUUCAUAGAAAUCGAAGUUCAUGGCAUUAAAUUUUUAACGCCGCAUACAUAAUAAAAAAUUUGAUUCUCUAGUGCCAAUAUAAUAGAAUACAUAAAAACGAGACUGAGAAACUACGAAUAAAGCUCAUCAUCAAGGACUCCACAACAUUAUAAGAAGUACUAUGUAACAUUUGCCAAAUUACAACACCACAUCAAGACAUAUCACAAUGUAAAAUUUUUCCUAGAGAUUUGGUAAUUGAAAAACACAAUUCAAGUUGAAAACUGAUAGUCGACUUGAAAAGUUUUAACAUAUCCCAUAAAAGAAAUGUGCCAUGCCAAAAAUCCUAACCCUUGGCUCUUUGACGAUAAGAAAAUAUUGAAAAUUCCAAAGUACAGUGCAAUGGGAGAAAGAAUGCCUAUAAAGCUAGUAAAGAUAUUCUUAAACUACUAUUGGGAUGUUGGGCUGGUUGGUAGCAAAACCCAAACCCUGCUGCUGAUUUCCGAUACCACCAUCUUGGAUAAGCCGCUCUCCCUCCUCUUCCUAACUCCUAAGCCCAAUAUCUUUCCAAAACCUUCACAACCCACUCAUAAAUCUCAUUGUUGUCGUGGAUAUGCAAAUUCUCAAUCUUUUCUACUCCAUCACACUCAUCAAUCAUUUGGGUAUAAACAUUAACCCAAUUAUCCAUUCCUAUUUCCUUGUUAACCUCACCCACCUUGAAAAUGUUCUCAAGACCCUAUAGACAAACUGUGACGAUCCUUUGGUCCAGACAAACCAGAAGAUCACAGAGCGGUUUGAUGCAACCUUGGCUCACCAGGAAUCUGCAGGACCAUGGUACCAUAAGUGAUUCUAUCACAUGAACAUCAUUAGAUUAAAAAAAGAAAAAAAAAAGAAACAUCUAUCGUAUGAACAUUGCUGAGUGAAUAAAAGAAACAUACUGAAUAUGUUCAUGAGAUCCUCCAUAUGUGGCAUUUAAGACAGGCCAUGCAGCCUCCUUGAUUUCAAGUUCUGCAUGUUGAAGAAGAGGUGCACAAAAGGAAGGAUAAGGAAGGAUGAUAUUGGCCUCCAUAACAGCCUGUUGAACAAAAAUUCGACAAAUUAUAAUUAUGAGUAUAUUUAAGUAGCAAUUUUGUCAGAAUUAACUAGACUUGACUAUUGAGGAAGUCACAUUCAAAAAUAGAAAAGACGAGCAAGCAAUUGUAUUCAUGCUAUCGGGACCAAAAUACUAUGAUGCAAGCAAGAAAGAAAAACAUACAUACAUAUAAAACACUAUCUUUGAGUUGGGUAUUUUCUUUCAAUUUUGAUAAUGGCAACUUUGGAUUCUUCUGCUGAAUUACCACCACCACCACACCAUUGUAGUUUCACAUACUAAGAAAAGGCAGGUUCAGCUCCCGUGCAUGCCCAUAAGAAUAUGAUGUAUUAAUUAGAAGUAAAAUUAAUCUGUUCAAUUAAGUUCUCUCAUAUAUUUGUGUGCGUGUGUGUGUUAAUUAGUUUGCUUUCAAAUCUUUUCUCCCUUCUUAAUGAUAUAUAUUUUAAGCAUGAUAUCAACCACGAUGAAUUUAUUAGCCGAUUUUUAAUUAUACAUUCAGCAUGAUAUCACAAACCAAGAGCUUAAGUUAGCCUAAUUCUUCAUAAAUCUAAUAAUUGCAAUCAAUAAUAAUGCUGAAAAUACGAGUUUGAAUUAAGCUAGCAACUGGUUCUUAAAUUAUGCAAUAUGUAAUCAUAGGUUUACUUAAAGAUUAAAGCAUUUCUGCAAUCCAUUGUGCAAAAAGAUUAAAAAAAAAAAAAAUAGUUGCCAAAUUUUAUCUAAAUAAAAAUUCCUUUAGUGGUUAGUACUUGUGAAUUAUAGAAAUUAUUAUUAGUACUUGCUCAGCGCUUUUUAGAUUUGUACAGGUAGAUUACGCCAUUUCAAACCCGACCAUCCAUUUAGACAUACAAAUCCCCCCAAUUCCCUGUCCUCCGCCUUUACGCGACUCUCCACUGUAUGUGCCAACUAAUUAAUUUUUUAAUUACUUGUUUAACUAAUUAAUUCAUUUUCUCAAAAGCAAGAUUAAUCUAUUUGUUCAAAUCUGAAGGAGAUUAAGUUAAUUGAUUUUAUUGUAUGUAAAAAUAUACAAAGAACUCAUGAAGCCAACUAGAAAAAAAAAAAAAGACAAAAAAAAAAUCAAACCCAGAAAUAAAAAGACAUGCUUCGACAGAAAAUUAAUGAAAAUUAUACUGAUUGUGGUUCAAUUUGAUCAAACCCAAAUAAUAACCGGUUUGAUUGAUGACUCAGCGGCAAAGUGCAGGCGCAUCAGUGGUUGCACAGAUGAGUGUUCUCGUGCGGCACGACAAAGCAAUUGUCGGCGAUUGUGAUUGGUGAUGACAUCGAGCGAUGGGGGUAAUGGCAUCGGUCGUGACUUUGUGAUGGAGAAACGAAUGUUAGAUUCGUUCGAAGAUUCGUGUUUUGAUUGAAUAACAAAGAGAGAUUUUAUGAGUUUUAAUUAUCUAAUACGAUACCGCAUAAACCCGACUCGUACGUGGGUUUAUUUUAUGCGGGUUUCGGUGUACUAAAGCAGUAAAUUUAUGUGGUGCAAUUCAAACUGAUUUCACCGCCAAAAGAUCGUGUAAAUUUAAUAUUAUACAGGGUUUUAAUACUAUGUAAUCCAAUACACCAAACAUGCCCUUAAAAACGGAUAGCAAUCCGGGGCCUUUAAAAACGGAAAAUACAAGCAGAGAAAAAGAAAAGCCAAUUGUUCAAAAGUGCCUAAUAUGCCCACGGAAAAUUUUCGUCACGACCCACAGUUACUCGAAUAGGUAAUAAGACAGGAAUGCCUUUGUUUGUUCGAAUAUAGAAGCACAAUGGCUCAGAAAGGAUCCCUCCAAUCUCCUUGGCACUGUCAGCUGGGUGCGGAGUAGCUUGGUGGCAGCAACCAUGUUUGAGAGGGCUGGCUUCACCUCAGUGUACUUGCGAGUCUUGAGACCACAGUCAGGGUUAACCCACAAAAUGUUGGUUUCUAGCACAGUACGCAUCUCGUAGAUUCUGUCAACAAUUUCUUCGGUUGAUGGUAUUCUUGGAGAGUGGAUGUCAUAGACGCCAGGGCCAAUUGCAGCAUCAUACUGGACUCCCUCACGGAAGACUGACAGGAGAUUCUCAUUAGAACGAGAGUUCUCAAUGGUGAUCACAUCAGCAUCCAUGUCGAUAAUUGAGUGGAUAAUGUCGUUGAAGUUGGAGUAGCACAUGUGGGUGUGGAUCUGUCAAUCAAUAAACAAUAGAAUGAGAUACAAAAUCAACAGCUAAAUUAAAGAGAUGAGAUUGGAGAUUAAAAGGGUAACUGACCUGGGUAGUGUCCUGGAUGCCACAGUUGGUGAUUCUGAAGGAGUGGACUGCCCAGUCCAAGUAGAAAGCAUGCUCAGAUUUCCUGAGAGGCAAUCCUUCCCUCAAGGCAGCCUCAUCAAUUUGAAUAACGUUAAUGCCUGCCUUCUCAAGAUCCUCGACUUCGUCCUUGAUGGCCAAAGCAAUCUGGUAGCAGGUUUCAUGUCUGCAAAAUUGGCAGCGAUUGAUGUUAAACAAUGUUUCCAUUCCAAAAGGUUAACCAAUAGUGAACCAGUUCUCAUUUAUAUACCUGGGCUGGUCAUUUCUGACAAAGGACCAGUUGAGAAUGGUGACAGGGCCAGUAAGCAUUCCCUUCAUUGGGCGAGCAGUCAUGCUCUGAGCCCAGGAGGACCAGAAGACGGUCAUAGCCUUGGGACGGCUCACAUCACCAUAGAUGAUGGGUGGCUUCACACAGCGAGAUCCAUAGGAUUGCACCCACCCAUUGGCAGUGAAGGCGAAACCUGAUAACUGCUCUCCAAAGUACUCAACCAUGUCGUUUCUCUACAAAAACAAAUGUCCGAAUUCAAUUUGAGAUCCAGCAUACUUCGUAUGCAAUUAGAAAUGCAGAAACAAAAAUGUAUAAAAUUUUAUGUAAUUCAAAACCAGGAGACAUUGCUUUGCUUCCAUUGGGCAUUGCGAGACUCACCUCAGGCUCUCCAUGGACAAGGACAUCAAUAUCAAGCUCUUCUUGGAGUUUGACAACCUUGUUGAUUUCCUCCUUGAUGGAAGCAACAUAUUCUUCCUCAGAAAUCCUAAAAAGGACAAAUAGUCACGGCACAGUUAAUACAGUAGUUGCAGUAAUUUCACACAUGGCAUUGAAUGAAGAAACACCUCAGAUUGACUCACUUCUUAGCCUUGUAUUCACGGCGGACUCUCCUAAGUUCAAUGGUUUGUGGGAAGGAUCCAAUUGUGGUGGUUGGGAGGAUUGGAAGAUUGAGCUUCUUCUGUUGAGCAUCUAAUCUAGCACUAACGUUUGUAGCACGUCUGUGGUCUGAUCCCCUCAAAGCAGCAGCCUAAUAGACCAAGAGGAAGGAAUCACUGUUAGCAAAAAAGGAAAUUCUAAGGGACAGCCACAUCAUAAAAAUGGAAAACAAAUCAAUCAUGCCACUUACAGCCUUUUGAACUGCCUCAUUGGUCACUCUCGGGGAGGACUUUCUUGAAGCCUGAGCUGCAGCAUUGGCAGAGAAGAAUCCCUGGAAACAAAUGAUAAGGAGAACCAAAGUUAGUCUCAUUCAUAUCAUUUUAAAAAGAAGAUACAUAUGCAAUUAGUGGGCUGAUUGUGAGAGAAAAAGUCCCCAAAACUUUAAUCAAACACCAAAUGCCCAAGUUGCCAAAUGAUGUUUAAUUCGGAAAAAUAUAUUUAAAAACAUUCAAAUAUAAUUUCCCCUUCUAAAUUUUCAUUUUCAACAACAUAUUUUACAAGCCAAGCUCAACGUCAGGCCAAGAUUUUGUGCUCCUAUAAUUAUAUUUUACCAUAAAACUAGGUCCUUGAAAGGCUAAGAUUUUCUGACUCUUGUGACUAGUCAAAGCCUAAGAUUCUUUCAAUUCAUCCGUAGUAAAAGUAUACCUCAUCCUUUUGGCCAGCCAAAGCCUUGGCCAAUGCAUUGACUUCAACAACUUUCUGGGCAGCAAAUGCCAGCCAUGACUUGAUUUCGUCGUCGAGUUUGUUCUCAUUAACAAGAUCAACAGCAGUGUGAAGAAGUGAGCAGGAGGUGGAGACCACAAGCUUGUCUGCAAAGAAAAGUAAUAAAUUAUACAACAAAUCCCAUAAUAGAAUAAGAAAUAUUUAUCACAAAGAAAAAUGCAAGCAAAGGAUGUAUACCUUUGCCAACAACACCCUCAAGCCCCCGGAGAACACUAAGAGAAGCAGCAAGAUCAUUGGCCCAAAUGUUCCUUCCAUCAACCACUCCAGCAAAGAGGUACUUGCCAGCAGGGAAUCCACUCUUGAUCAAUUCAAGGGUCUUGGUUCCACGAACCAAAUCAAAUCCAUAAGCGGUGACACCCUUCAAAGAAGUGAGGGUCUGGAAUGCCUCAGCUGGAACAUCAGCAAAGUAGGUCUCAACAAGAACAUUCAAGCCAGACAGAGUUGACUCUAGUUCCGCGUAAGCCUCACUGAAUGCUUGCAAUUUGUGUGAGUCAAGAUCCGUAACAAGCAAUGGCUCAUCAAACUGAAUCCAGGAAGCACCAGCAGCCUUAAGCUCAGAAACAACUUCCCUGCAGAAGUGUUAAUUGGUACGACACGGAUUAAUGAUGCCACACGAUACACACACACACACACACACACACACACACACACACACACACACACACACACACACACACACACACACACACACACACACACACACACACACACACACACACACACACACACACACACAGACAGAGUUAUUUAGCACAUACACGUUUAUAAAUCUGUAAAUAGGUGAUAAUUCUUACUUGUAGAUCGGAAGGAUUUUGGGAAGAAGAGAGAGAACAGAAAAGGUCUUCUCAACCCCCCAGGCAGGCUUAGACAGCAACAAGUAUGACACAGGGCCAAUAAGCACUGGGACAGUUUCAACUCCAUGCUGCAGCAUUAGACAAGUGGUAGAUAUUAGCAUCUCACAAACUUGAUCUGACUGAUAGAAAGUUACAAGCAAGUUAAGAAUAUGUUUGAUGAAAUUUCAAUGAAAAAUCUUCAGGGUCCACAACAUGUUGACUAUACCCUUUUUAAGUAAUUUAUCUUAAGACUAUUUUGCAAACAGUAUUGCUUCCCUUUACAGAUCAAAUAAAUCAUACAACAUCUGAACGCAUUUCCUGAGCCAAAUAUAAGUUCAAAGCUCUAUAAUAAAUGUCAAUGACUCUAUAGUAAAUUCCAUCACAUUCUGAGCUAUGGAUGAGCAUAUCAUAUGCCAAUUUCAAGUUGAACGUAACCCAAUUUCAACAUAUUGUAGAUUCAAGUAUCAAACGAAAAAAAAAAUAUUGUAAAUAUAGACAGAACUGAGAACAAACACUCACCCCCUUAGCCUCCUUGUACUCAGUCACAGCCUUGUGGGAAGCGUAGGAGAACUUAACAUCGGGUCCCAAUUCAGGAACAAUGAAAUGACUGCAUCAACACGAAGCCAAACACACGUCAGCAUUCAGUACAAAACCAUUACACCAUAACUAACUUGAAAUGCCGCUCUUCCAAGUAGUGAAUACUUACUAGUUGGUGUCGAACCACUUGGUCAUUUCCAUUGCGAGAACAGAGGCGUUUCCUCUGGCCAUGGAGAAGUAAACAUCGAAUCCAAUCUCGCCGCCGUUCCAGUUAAACCUCGGGGGCACGGCACCGAGCAUUGCGGUGGUGUCGAGCACUUGGUCGUAGUAGGAGAAAGUGUUGCUGGGAAUGUAUUUGAUCCCGGCCUCGGACAUCUGUUUCCAGAUGGAGGAUCUGAGAUCAGCGGACACCUUUUGCAAAUCCUCGGCGCUGCUCUUGCCAUCCCAGAAGGAUUCCAACGCGAACUUGAGCUCCCUCUUGGGGCCCAUGCGUGGGUAACCAACGAUGUGAGAUGCCAUUUUACUGUCAUAAUCACGUCAUCAAUGAAUCGAAAAUCAGUCCCUUCCAUUAAAUCAAGAAAUUAUUAAUUCAAAUGAAUGGAUCACAUUGUAUAUAUAUGGGAUAAAUAUAAUUAUGAACAAAAGCGUCUAAUCAAUCACAAAAAGCAAGCGACUGCAUCAAAUUUAGGGAUCCGACCCGACCCGACCCGAUCUGUAAAUUCCGGUUUCAAUCGGAUUAAGAUGAAACCUCUAACCCGAUAUAGUUGGAUUUUGGCCAACUCGAUCGGAUCAGAUCGGAUCGGAUUAAACUUAGUCCAAUCCGAAAAAUUCAAAAAAUCAAAACUACAAUAAGUAUAAAUCUAAAUUUUCAAUUCAAUUUGAUCUAAUCUGAAUAUAUUCGAAUCGGAUCAAAUACUAUGCUCUGCUUAAACUUGGAUUAUAUUUUUUUCAAUUUGAUUAACCUAAAAUUCGAUUGGAUAGAUCCAAAACUGAAUUUAUCUACCCCUCAGUCAUCAAUCAAUUACAAAACCUAAAAUCCGAUUGGAUAGAUCCGAAACUGAAUUUAUCCACCCUUAAGUCAUCAAUCAAUUACAAAGGCGACUGAUGUUUAUACAAUGGACAAUUAUUAAGUUACAGCUCUUGUAAUUUACAACUUAUACAAAAAUAUGUGAAAAAUUGUGAUAGGCAGUACAGUGUCAUGAUUUUAUACAAAAAUAUGUAAACAAUUGUGAUAGACGGUAGAACCUCAUGAUUUUAUAAAAAAUACGUAAAAAGUUGGGAUAAGUAAUGGAGCCCGCAUAAUUUUUUAUCAGCUGCAAGUUGCAAGUUACAGCAACUGUAACUUAGCGACCCCGACUUCAAUGUAAAAUGAGAAAGUACUCCUCCGCAUAGUACCUGAUGCUCAAAAGUCAAAUCACACGAAAUGCAAAUAGACUUAUCAGAGCAUAAAACCUUAUAUUACUUUUUGAAAAACGAUUUGAAACAAGGGCAAAAUUACAGUGUAACCGUACUUAGUCAUUGAAUUCAGCUCACAAUUAUCAUUAUAGUUAGAUCUAAUAACUAGAUCCAACUGUAUCCACAGUUAUAUUGUAGUUAGAUCUGAUAACUAAAUCCAGAUCCAGCUGUCCCCACAAUUGUCAUUAUAGUUAGAUCUAAUAAUUAGAUUCGGCUGAUUCAGCUGUGAUGUAGUACCCUGUAGUGCCAUAACUGGACAAAGAAACAAACUGAUAUAUUUUCUUUUUUGAAACAAACUGAUACUAAUCCAAGAGUUUCAGAUGAUCGGUUUUUUUUUUUUUUUCUAUAGUCACAUCAAUAAUUAAGUACUUUCAGUCAUUUUCGAAGGAUUAAAACGAAAACUCUAAAAAAAUUCUGAGAAUGAAGAAUCCGAAAAUAGAUUCAGAAAUAGUAACACAAGUAGAGGUCAGAUUGUUUUUUGGAAAAGAUUAAUUGCAGAUCUGAUGAACUCAAGUCUAGAUCUAGCAAAAUCACGGCAGCCAAACACUAGAUCUAAGACUAACAGUCACUCACCAGUCGAUCAGAAAGUGAAAUCAAGUUCAAAAUUCUUUUUUUUUAAUAGAUCCAAAAGCUAAUAUACAUAUAUAUAUGGCAAAAUAUAUAUACCGUACCCGAGAAGGACGAGCAGAGAAAUUAAGCUUUUUUCGAGAGAACGAGAAAGAAGAGAGACGAGACUGUUAGAAAUUGCUGUCAGUUUAAUUUUUAUUUAUAGCCAAAAACCUAACCUUGUUUAGUGGUUACUGGUUACCGUCUUCGGCGGUGUUGAUCUGAGAUUUAUCAUUUUAAUUUCUUUCUCUUACUUAUUUAUUUAAUUUGGGUCCAACUACGGUGAAACUGUAGUACCGUGCUACAGUUAUUUUCAACCGUUUGAUUCACUUGGAUGGUGGGAUCCAAUAAAAUCCAAUAACUGGGUGCAACCGUAGCACGGUGCCGCAGUUGCACCACAGUUUUUCCCAUUUAUUUAUUAUGCUUUCAGUGCAGUUGGCAAAAACAUGGAGCUUACGCGCGCUUUUCUGAUGUGGCGCGUGAAUUGGAAAUGUGGUAGAUCUUUGUGGAUCCGCCGGUGCAGUGAAGAGUGAAGGAAAAAAGAGAAAAGUUAUCAUGCCAGAUCAUUUGAAGAGAGCCGCAAUUAGUAAUUACACCACAAUAUAUUUCUGAUUAUUUGCUUACUUUGAUGAUGUUUUUACUGAUUAGUAAUUGGAAUAUGUUAGAAUCUAAAUAUAGUAGAAUCAUAAUAGAGUUGAAUCAAAAUAGACUAUAAUUAGAAUGGAUAAUGGGAAUUAGAAGAAUUAUUUGCUUUAGUUGUGAGAAUCCAAAUUGGAAUGAACUAUAUUGUCGUUGAUAUGUUUACUUUAUCAUAGAAUAUGAAUGAAUUAUUACAAGUUACUAAACAGACCUUAAGUUGAUUAUUGUCAUUAUUUAUUUAUUUAUUAUUAUUAUUAUUAUUAUCAUCAUCAUCAUCAUCAAAAUUAUUAAUCUUAUUAUUAAUGUUAAUUAUAAUAAUUAAUAAUUAUAAUAGUAUUAUAAUAAUAAUAAUAAUAAAAGCAAUCAUAAAAUGAGAAUUUCAAGAUUUAAGUAGAGAUAAUAUAAUUAUUUUAGAAAAUGAGAAUUUCCAUGAGAAUGUGAACUCUAUUAAUCAUUCCCAAUUUGAAGUGGGGCCUGCCAUUUUGAUUCAAUCUCUCAUUUAAGCAAGUAAAUACGACAUUUAUUCUCAUUCCCUCAUUCCCACUCUCAGGUAGCGUUUGUUUUUUAACUUAAUGACUUAAAGUGACUUAACUUAAUUAAUUAAGUUAAUUAGAGGUGUUUAUUUUUAUAACUUAAUGAGACUUUUUAGAUAAUUUUGACUUAAUAAAAUGAGCCAAUUUUUUUUGGCUUUUUACUUAAUGGAGAAAUUUGAAUUUAGUCAAUUACUUACUAAUGUCAAAAAUAUCUAUGUUUUAUAAUUUAUUUUUCAUGUCUAUCCCAAAACUCACCCAUAGACAUUUACCCCACAUAAAAAUAUCCCUAUUUUUUCUUUCUUAUAUUAUAUACGAUAAAAUUUGAAAUUUAUGGUAUUUUAUAUAUUAAAAUUCUAAAAUAAUUAUGUAUUCACUUGAAUAUAGUUUUACUUAUAACUGUUAAAAUAUUGUGGUAUUUAAUAUAUUAUUUAUUUGACAUUAAAAUUUAAUAAGGAUACAAAUGUAAAAGUACAUAUUUUCAGUUUUUUCAGUUAAAAAAAAAGCAACUUAAUACUUAUUUUUCGAGAUUCAGACGAAAAAAUAAACAUAUUAUUCAUAUUCAGACAUUUAGAUAUAUUCAGAAUUCAAACUAAUUCAGGUCUAUUCAGAUUUUAGACAAAAAAAACAAACGCCACCUCAAUCAAUAAACACACCAUAAAUGUAGAGUUGUUACUAUUAGAAUACAUUAUAAUUCAUCACAAUUAUGAUAGGUAUAUACGUGUGUAAUAAUUUAUAUAAGAUGCUAAAUUUUGAAAAUAAUAAAAAAUCAUUUAUACAUAUUUAAAAAAAUCAUUAAUACAUUAAAAUGUGCAUCACAUAUACAUUUACAUAAUAGCAAUGACCAUAGUAUAAAAAAAACUCCUAAAAGAGAACGACUUCGUUAUUUAUGUUAUUUUAUAUAUUUUUAAUUGAUUAUUAAAAGGAUCAAUUGUUAAUUAUUAUUCUCCAAACAUAAUCACCGUUAAACAUUUAUUCAAUUUAACAAUAGGUAGAUGUUAAAUAAUAUUGGAAUAUUUAAUGAACAAUAUAAUCACUAUUGCAGUUGUUUUUUUUUUUUAGUAAUGGAUUAUUCGAAACUCAAAUUCAUUUUUUAGCCCCCUUACCUCUCUUAAAAUUCAAAUUUAAGUGACUAAACAAAUAAAACUGCUUAAAAUCUAUACGACUACAUCUUUGGGGACCAAUUAAUAUGGAUGUUUAAAUCUUGAUUUAUUAUUAAAUCUUUGAGUUUCAACCACUAAUAACAUCAUCAUCGAUUAAUGACAAAUAAAAUAAUACAUCAUCAAAACCAUUAAACACGUCCAUCAAUAUCAAAAACAAGUAAAAAGUUUAGCAUGUAUUUCAAAUAUACUUUUCAUCCCAAAAGUUGUAGAGAAAGUCUCGAUAUCAAUGUCACUAUGAGACGUAAUUUUAUAUUUAAAGUCAGCGCAACUUAAAAAUUACUAUGAAUGAAUAAUACACCAUAAAAAAAUUAUUUAUAAGUAUUUUCAUCAUGUAUUUUUAUUUAACAAUGGUGACAUUUAUUUUUUAACUUAAUGACUUAAAGUGGCUUAACUUAAUUAAUUAAGUUAAUUUUAGGUGUUUGUUUUUAUAACUUAAUAGGACAUUUUAGAUAAUUUUGACUUAAUAAAAUAGGCCAAUUUUUUUUAACUUUUUACUUAAUAGAGAAAUUUGAAUUAAGUCAGUUACUUUCUAAUGUAAAAAAAUAUUCCUACUUUAUAAUUUAUUUUUCAUGCAUAUUCAAAAACUCACCCAUAGAUAUUUACCCCACAUAAUCUCAUCUUUAUUUUCUUCCAGCCGUCAUGGAAUCCCUCCUCACUUUGCUUCUCUCCUCUAGUUCUUGAAUCUCCCUUUAAUUUCUCGCUAGGCAAAGCACUUGAAUUGGGCUUUUUUUUUUUCCUUUUCAAUUACGUUUUCCAACAUUCACUUAUAUAAUAAUCAACUAGUUGCUACUCUUUUUAGUGAUAAAAUUUGAAAUAUGGUAUUUUAUAUAUUAAAUUUUCAAAAUUAUGUAUUCACUUAAAUGUAGUUUUACUUAUAAAUAUUAAAAUAUUAUGUUAUUUAAUAUAUUAUUUAUUUGACAUUCAAAUUUAAUAAGGAUAUAAAUGUAAAAGUACAUAUUUUUAAUUUUUUAAGUUGAAAAAAUAACUUAAUAUUUAUUUUCAGAUAUUCAAAUAAAAAAUAUAUUAUUUAAAUUCAAAAAUUUAAAUCUAUUCAAAAUUUAAAGUAAUUCAGGUCUAUGCAUAUUUCAAUCAUAAAAACAAAUGCCACAUGAGUCAUUCAAUUUCUAAUUAAGAGGAUAAAAAAUAGAUUUGGACUAUCCUAAGACAAAAACAAAAAAAAAAACAAAAAUAAGAUUUCCUAAUAAGUGUACUAACGUGGUCACGCGCCUUGAGAAACGCUUGGACCUAACACACUAUUUUAAUCCGAUAUGCAAAAAAAGAAAAAAAAAAAAAAGGAAAAAUUAUGAGAUGUAUAAGUUUCUAGAGACGUGUUAAAUUUUGAUGAAACAAUGAAGAAAGUCGGUGGCCGAAGUUGGUAUGGGGCAAUGCGAAUGGUGGUUGGCCCACGUUGCCCUGUAAUUGGAGUUGUUAUAAUUUUUCUUAUAAUUAAUAGGACUUGACACAGACUGCAGCAUCAGCCGUUGGAUGUGGAGGGAGAAACUAAACAAUAGAAAACCGUAUGGUGGGAUGACGGUAGAUGUUUGUUACAGAAACUGUACCAUAGACAGGUCCUAAUUAAUAAGCUCUACGUUUUGAAACAAUAAAUAAACUCCAGAUGACCAAAAUAUCAUUUCAUACUGCUACCUAGACAUCUUGGCGAGGGUGGGUAAUGUGGGGCCCGGAGCUUGUUUGAUCGUCAAUUAUUCUCUGGUUUGGUGAAACGAAUGGACGGACGAUGGUGAUGGCUUUUAGGAGAUUAGUAUUAUUAUUAUUAUUAUUAUUAUUACAUUGAGAUCGUAAAACAAAAAAUUCAAUUAAUAAUAUAAAAUAUUUAUUUAAUUUAUUAAUUAUUAUAUAUACACAAUAAAAAAAUUUAUAUACAUAUUUAUAAAUGUGUAAAUAAAUUUCAUUCAAUAUUAUAUCCAAUUAAUCAUUUAUAUUUUUCUGCUGUACCGUACAUCCGCCUUGGCCGUACAGCAGUAAAGCUGCUGAUGCUUUAUCGCGAAUUCAUGAGGAAAAUGUGAUUGAAGAACCCAAACCAACAACUCUUUGUUUGUCGUUAGACAUUUACCCCACAUAAAAAUAUCCCUAUUUUUUCUUUCUUAUAUUAUAUACGAUAAAAUUUGAAAUUUAUGGUAUUUUAUAUAUUAAAAUUCUAAAAUAAUUAUGUAUUCACUUGAAUAUAGUUUUACUUAUAACUGUUAAAAUAUUGUGGUAUUUAAUAUAUUAUUUAUUUGACAUUAAAAUUUAAUAAGGAUACAAAUGUAAAAGUACAUAUUUUCAGUUUUUUCAGUUAAAAAAAAAGCAACUUAAUACUUAUUUUUCGAGAUUCAGACGAAAAAAUAAACAUAUUAUUCAUAUUCAGACAUUUAGAUAUAUUCAGAAUUCAAACUAAUUCAGGUCUAUUCAGAUUUUAGACAAAAAAAACAAACGCCACCUCAAUCAAUAAACACACCAUAAAUGUAGAGUUGUUACUAUUAGAAUACAUUAUAAUUCAUCACAAUUAUGAUAGGUAUAUACGUGUGUAAUAAUUUAUAUAAGAUGCUAAAUUUUGAAAAUAAUAAAAAAUCAUUUAUACAUAUUUAAAAAAAUCAUUAAUACAUUAAAAUGUGCAUCACAUAUACAUUUACAUAAUAGCAAUGACCAUAGUAUAAAAAAAACUCCUAAAAGAGAACGACUUCGUUAUUUAUGUUAUUUUAUAUAUUUUUAAUUGAUUAUUAAAAGGAUCAAUUGUUAAUUAUUAUUCUCCAAACAUAAUCACCGUUAAACAUUUAUUCAAUUUAACAAUAGGUAGAUGUUAAAUAAUAUUGGAAUAUUUAAUGAACAAUAUAAUCACUAUUGCAGUUGUUUUUUUUUUUUAGUAAUGGAUUAUUCGAAACUCAAAUUCAUUUUUUAGCCCCCUUACCUCUCUUAAAAUUCAAAUUUAAGUGACUAAACAAAUAAAACUGCUUAAAAUCUAUACGACUACAUCUUUGGGGACCAAUUAAUAUGGAUGUUUAAAUCUUGAUUUAUUAUUAAAUCUUUGAGUUUCAACCACUAAUAACAUCAUCAUCGAUUAAUGACAAAUAAAAUAAUACAUCAUCAAAACCAUUAAACACGUCCAUCAAUAUCAAAAACAAGUAAAAAGUUUAGCAUGUAUUUCAAAUAUACUUUUCAUCCCAAAAGUUGUAGAGAAAGUCUCGAUAUCAAUGUCACUAUGAGACGUAAUUUUAUAUUUAAAGUCAGCGCAACUUAAAAAUUACUAUGAAUGAAUAAUACACCAUAAAAAAAUUAUUUAUAAGUAUUUUCAUCAUGUAUUUUUAUUUAACAAUGGUGACAUUUAUUUUUUAACUUAAUGACUUAAAGUGGCUUAACUUAAUUAAUUAAGUUAAUUUUAGGUGUUUGUUUUUAUAACUUAAUAGGACAUUUUAGAUAAUUUUGACUUAAUAAAAUAGGCCAAUUUUUUUUAACUUUUUACUUAAUAGAGAAAUUUGAAUUAAGUCAGUUACUUUCUAAUGUAAAAAAAUAUUCCUACUUUAUAAUUUAUUUUUCAUGCAUAUUCAAAAACUCACCCAUAGAUAUUUACCCCACAUAAUCUCAUCUUUAUUUUCUUCCAGCCGUCAUGGAAUCCCUCCUCACUUUGCUUCUCUCCUCUAGUUCUUGAAUCUCCCUUUAAUUUCUCGCUAGGCAAAGCACUUGAAUUGGGCUUUUUUUUUUUUCCUUUUCAAUUACGUUUUCCAACAUUCACUUAUAUAAUAAUCAACUAGUUGCUACUCUUUUUAGUGAUAAAAUUUGAAAUAUGGUAUUUUAUAUAUUAAAUUUUCAAAAUUAUGUAUUCACUUAAAUGUAGUUUUACUUAUAAAUAUUAAAAUAUUAUGUUAUUUAAUAUAUUAUUUAUUUGACAUUCAAAUUUAAUAAGGAUAUAAAUGUAAAAGUACAUAUUUUUAAUUUUUUAAGUUGAAAAAAUAACUUAAUAUUUAUUUUCAGAUAUUCAAAUAAAAAAUAUAUUAUUUAAAUUCAAAAAUUUAAAUCUAUUCAAAAUUUAAAGUAAUUCAGGUCUAUGCAUAUUUCAAUCAUAAAAACAAAUGCCACAUGAGUCAUUCAAUUUCUAAUUAAGAGGAUAAAAAAUAGAUUUGGACUAUCCUAAGACAAAAACAAAAAAAAAAACAAAAAUAAGAUUUCCUAAUAAGUGUACUAACGUGGUCACGCGCCUUGAGAAACGCUUGGACCUAACACACUAUUUUAAUCCGAUAUGCAAAAAAAGAAAAAAAAAAAAAAGGAAAAAUUAUGAGAUGUAUAAGUUUCUAGAGACGUGUUAAAUUUUGAUGAAACAAUGAAGAAAGUCGGUGGCCGAAGUUGGUAUGGGGCAAUGCGAAUGGUGGUUGGCCCACGUUGCCCUGUAAUUGGAGUUGUUAUAAUUUUUCUUAUAAUUAAUAGGACUUGACACAGACUGCAGCAUCAGCCGUUGGAUGUGGAGGGAGAAACUAAACAAUAGAAAACCGUAUGGUGGGAUGACGGUAGAUGUUUGUUACAGAAACUGUACCAUAGACAGGUCCUAAUUAAUAAGCUCUACGUUUUGAAACAAUAAAUAAACUCCAGAUGACCAAAAUAUCAUUUCAUACUGCUACCUAGACAUCUUGGCGAGGGUGGGUAAUGUGGGGCCCGGAGCUUGUUUGAUCGUCAAUUAUUCUCUGGUUUGGUGAAACGAAUGGACGGACGAUGGUGAUGGCUUUUAGGAGAUUAGUAUUAUUAUUAUUAUUAUUAUUAUUACAUUGAGAUCGUAAAACAAAAAAUUCAAUUAAUAAUAUAAAAUAUUUAUUUAAUUUAUUAAUUAUUAUAUAUACACAAUAAAAAAAUUUAUAUACAUAUUUAUAAAUGUGUAAAUAAAUUUCAUUCAAUAUUAUAUCCAAUUAAUCAUUUAUAUUUUUACAGCGGUUUAAUAAUAAUAUUUACUAAAUACAUAUGAUUAUUUUUAAAAUUCACAGUAUUUUUAAAAAUAAAUUUUAUAAAAUUUUUAACUAAUUUUCUUUACAACUAACUAUUGAACGGUUUAACUAAUAGUAAUUAUUUUUAAAAUUAUAGUAUUAUCAAAUUAGUCCUAUGUCAAAUUUGUUAUUGCUGUUUUUUUUUUAAUUAAAAAAUUACAUAGUGCAUACGUGCAUAAUAUGCCCAACUCAAAAAUUCACACAAAAUAUACUAUUUAACUUUAAGGCUUUAAUUGAAAAAAAAAAUUAAGAUUAAGAUGAAUAAAUACUAGAACAUAACAAAUAGAUAAACUCUCCCAUUCUUUAAAAAGAUUAAUUUUAUUUUAAACUUACACUUCGAAUUCAAAGUAGACAUUGAUUGAUAAAAUUAUACAAACGGAUCAAUAUUCCUACAUUUUCUUUUUAAUUUCAAAACCAACAGAUAUUGUUUGUUCAUUAUAUGACCUCCAAACAAAUAAUUUCAUUAAUAAAAUAAUAAUGAAAAGUGUCGUGAUGGGUAUAGAGUAAUUAGGUGGCUAAGUUUCUACUUUUCAUUCUAACUCUUGAGGUUGGUAGGCGCGUGGGUGGUCCACAAAACCCGUGGACGGUAGCAUUCAAACAAAGACUGGAGGCACCAGAAAAAUGUCCAAAAAGUGUGAAACCGUGACGUGUUCAACAUGUUAAUAAAUUUAGGCAAAUGUUAAAGUUACGGAGCUGGCUACGUUACAGAAACUGUACGUAACAGCCAUGCAUUUUUUAUUCGUUGGAUCUAGAGACUGAAAUUGGAUGGUUGGGAUUAAAGGCCAGAAUAGAAAUUAAUCACGGGCAACCGUUUUUAACAUUUAGAAGGGUUUAUUUUCAUGCACACCCAAAUAUUUUGACAAAUAUCAAUAUGCACCCAGUAACUUUUUAUGUAAAACCACAUAACCGACCCGUUAACUUUUCUACUAUUGAAUUAAAAAACUAUCAUGCCUCAAUUGAAUUAAAUUGAUCAGGUAAAAUAUCUUUUAUAACUUGUCAAUUUUUACAGUGAAAUAUACGAGUAUUUAGUAAAAUCAAAUUUAUUUUUUAUUCAGUAAUCAAAUUUUUUUAUUUAGUGAAAUCAAAAUUAUUUUUCUUUAGUUGUAAGAUUUUUUUAACAAAAAAAUUCUAAAAUCAGAUUUAACUCAUUUACUAUUUUAAAAAAUGAACUUUUUACUAACCAAACUAGAGUUUAUCUUUAGUCAACAUAUUUUUUUCUCUAAAAUAACCUUUGAUAGAAUUACUUAUAUAAACAUGUCAGUAUCAAAAUUACUUCAUAUUUUACCAUCCAUCAAUUUAAACUAGUGUGAAAUUUUUUUAGUUUGAUAUUGAAAAUAUGAUAGUUGAUGAGAGAAAUCUAAUUCAAAUUUACAGAUAGAAUAGUUUCUUAUAAUUGCGUACAUGGUAUAUCAAAAAUAUUUUUUUGUGAGUUUUUAAAAAAAUUGUGUCACAAGAUGAAAUUAUCUCUUGAUUUUUCAAUUCCUGGAAUUUAUGUAAAACAAUAAACACAAGUAAAUCUUUUGGUUUGUGACUUCUUGAAGGAAUGUUUGGGAACGCACAAGUUCCUCUCUCCUUCAAAAAGAAUGAUAAGUGCAAAUACCAACCUAGAAAAUUGAUUUAUAAUUCAAAGAAGAUUUGAUUGAAGAUGAUUAAUUGAAAUUUAUCUUUGCAUGAUGUCAAACAUUUUUCAAAAUGACUAAGUCAAGUCUCUUUGUUAAUUCAAAUCAAGAAAAAUUAGAAAAAUAUUAAUGCAUAGAAAUUCUACUAAGAGUUAUUUAUGAAAUUCUCAAACGAAUAGAAAUUAAAUUAACAUUUUUAAAUUUUAGUUAUGGGUUUAUUUUAAAAAUGGGUUUAGAAAGAAAUUUGAGGGGUUUAAAGAACCCCGCCCUUUCUUUAAUUAUUCGGUGAAUUUGAAAUAUAUUAAUAAGGUAUAAGAAUAUGUUAUUCUAAUCUUCUUAUGCAAAAUCUAUGCAAUUAAAAAAAAAUUCACCAAACGGUAUUUGUCUUUUUAUUGACAUUUAAUAAUAUUGAUGGCAAAUAUAUACAAUUAUCAAUCAAUUGUUAUCAACUAUUCAAGAUAACUGAAAAACUAAUUGCGUGAAGUUGGAGUAAUGAUUGUUUGAAUUGCCAAGAGUUUUUUUUUAAUAGAAACUAUUGCAAUUCAUAUCAUUAAAAAACUUAAAGACUACAAGUCGAAUAAAAAAUCUUUCCUUAUAAAAGAAUUUGACCAACUCAAAGUACAGUGUUAAAUCCUUGAGAUACAAUGAACCUAAAAAUCCUACUUUGACACACCACAAAUAAUGAAUCUAACUUAACAAUCAAUGGAGAUAAAUCAAUUUUACUAGCAAAAUAUAAGCCAAAACACAAGGCAACGUCUUCACCAAAAUCAAUAUCAUUCAAAUAAUUCCCCUUGUGAACGCCUGAAGCUAUCAUAAAAACAACAAAAAAUAAAAAAAUAAAAACAAGUAGACAAGCAAAAAAAUUCCCCAAUAACAAGUUACCCUACAAAACUUUUCCUUGUAGAACAUACACAGAAACCGCAGCUAUAGGGCUAUCGAAAGUAGGGAUGGCAAUGGGGAGGGGAGGGGAGGGGACCAAUCUCCCCAUACCCAUCCCCGAUAUUUUGCGUAUGUCCCCGUCCCCGUCAGAAUUGCUUGAGAGAAUCUCCAUCCCCUCCCCGAAUAAUAACAGGGGAUCCCCGAGGGUCCCCGGUCUUUGGAAAAGCUAGGAAAGAAAAGGGACGUGAAAAACAAAGGGGGUAGAUUUUUUGAAGGGGAAAGAAAAAGAAACCCUAGAUCUAAAUUUUUCUCUUCUCUCUAUGAAGAACUAAACCUAUUAUUCUGGUUGAAGAUUAAUAAAGCUUUGGUUCAUCAUUACUGUGAGAUCUUUCUUAUGCUUUAAUUGUUUUAUUGCUUUUUGGGUAUUUGUUUAUUCUCUAAAUUAUUGUCAUGAUUAUAUUUGUUAAUUAGAUAAUUGGCCACUAUUUAAUUAUCAACUUAAUCUAUUGUCAAUUAAAAGAUUCAUCGUAUGAAGAUUUUAAUAUUUGUGACAAAUAGCAUAGCAGUGCGUUGUGUUAUGAGAAUAAACAAUCUAAUUUAAAUGAACCAUCGUAUGCGUUUGUUGAUUAGGAUUUGGGUCUCUCUGAUUUUUCAGGUUGUCAAUUAAUUAAAUCCUAUGAUUGUAUCUAGGGUUAUCUAUUAAUUAGGGAAAUAACCAAUGGUCGUACCUUAGUUAUCGACUAGUUAAAGAGAGAUUGGCUAUUAAAGGGUCUCAGUAGCUAGGGAUGGCAAAAAUCCCCACGGGGACGGGCACCCUCGGGGAUUUUCCCCAUUCGGGGAGGGUACGGGGAUAAUUUUAUACCCAAUUUUUUUUUCGGGGAGGGGACGGGGAAAAUUUUUUACCCAAUUUUUUAUUCGGGGAGGGGACGGGGAUGAGGUGGAAUCCCCAUCCCCUACCCAUUUCCCCAUUUUAAUUUUUAUUUUUUAUUUUUAAAAUUACUAAUAAAUAUAUAACAAAAUUAUAAAUAUUGGCAAGAUAUGAGUGGAAUUUUGGGUGUGACAUGUAUAUUUGAUCCAAGGUAUAAAAAGAAGUUCAUUGAAUAAUACUUUUCUUUUUAUUUUUAAAAUUACUAAUAAAUAAAUAACAAAAUUAUAAAUAUUGUUAAAAAUAAUAAAUAUCAAAAUAGUUGUAUGUUGGGAAAGUGGUCACCCCUUACCAGGAAUUAGUGGAAGAGUAUCAAUUGAAGUUUUCACCAAUUGUUUAUUGCUUUGAUUAUACUGGUUGUAGUUCUUCUAUUAGAUCUACAGGGGAUUCUUAUAAGAAAGCAACCAAAUGGAUGACAUGUUUUGAUGAUUAUGUAAACAAUGGAGAUUGUGCAGUUGUUGCAGAUGAAUUAGAUUCAUAUUUGGAUGAAAAAGUUAUACCCCGGAUGGAAGAUUUUAAUAUUUUGAGUUGGUGGAAGACAAAUGCUAAUAGGUAUCCUACAUUAGCUCGAAUUGCUACAGGACGAGCAGGAGGUAAAUAGUUUUAUUAAAAAUAUUAAUUAAGUAUCUACAUUUAUUUCAUUUAUUUUAUUGCCGAUGUAAAAAAUAUUUUUUUUUUCUUUUUAUUGUAGGAUUAUGAAGAUUGAGACAUUGAUAAAGAUAAUUAUUUUAAUAAUUUAUAUUUUGAAUGUGACUUUGUAAUGGAUCAAUAUUAAUGUAAGAUAUAUUUUAAACUUUAUUUUUAUCUGAAUUUUUUAUUUUAAUAUGAUUAAUUUAAAAUCAAAAAUAAAAAAAUGUAUUAGACUAUUAAUUAUUCGGAGACCGGGGACCCUCGGGGAUCCCCUGUUAUUAUUCGGGGAGGGGAUGGGGAUUCUCUCAAGCAAUUCUAACGGGGACGGGGAGGGGACGGGGACAUACGCAAAAUAUCGGGGAUGGGUAUGGGGAGAUUAGUCCCCUCCCCUCUCCUCCCCAUUGCCAUCCCUAGAUUUUUGCCAUCCCUAUCGAAACCUCUACCCACCACUAUUAGAGUUAAAAAAAUCUCUGAUAUGAGUGUAUUCUUCUAAUUUGAACUCUAACGUGAUUUUUUGAGAGAUUCAUUGGAAAAAAACCUUAAGGAGUUAAAGAAGAAAUUUAAAAAAAAAAUCAUAAAAAGAGGAAUGAAAAGAAAAAGAUGCUUUACCAAGAGUUGAUUGACAGUAAUUGGUAAAUUUGAGCAUGCAAUAAAAUUUACCCAUAUAUUCAUAUGACAUAAAAUAUAAUUUUAUUCAUUAAUUACACUACUAAUUUGUCUAAAUUUUAGUUUUUAAAAAAAUAAAUUUCUAUAUAUUUACAUAAAUCUUAGUUUUUAUAAAAAUAAAUUGAAAAAUAAAUUUAUGUUUUUAUAAAAAUAAAUUUAUGUUUAUUUUUUUACAUUGACCUGAAGAAAAGACUAGUACUACUAAGCUGCUGUACGGCCAAGGCGGAUGUACGGUACAGCAGCAAUUUGACUGUUUGGGGGUGGGGUUGAUGGCUUACAUCAAAGUUAGUGUGUGCUAAGGAUUAACAAUAAUAAUGGGGUAAAUAUGAAAUUAAUCCUUGCCCAAGCAUUAGAAGUUCGUCGGUUUUCUUUUAACCGGAUAAUUACCGGUGAAUAUGUCACGCGUUCCUACACGUGGCAGCAUCUAAUUUAUUCGCUUGUCAUUUCAGUUUCUGUUAGUUACAGUUUCUGUAACGUAGCUAGCUCCGUCAGGUACAGGCAUGUUGUAACUUACGUUUCUCGUAAAAAUCAUAUAAGUUCUAUUUCUACCGCUAGGGUGAGCAUGGGUUGAUUUGGAUUAAAUUUUAAGUUAAUUUAAAUUAAAUUAUAAAAAUUUGGGUGUAAUCUAAAUUAAUUUAAAUAUUUUUAACAUAACUCAUGGGUUGGUUAAAUCAAACUAUAAAAAUUUGGUCCAACUCAAAUUAACUCAAAUAUUUUCAACACAACCCAAAGCAACUCAGUUGGAUUUUAUUAAAAUUAUAAUAAUUAUUAAUUGUUUUUAAACCAACCAUUUUGAGUUUGGUUUGGAUUUUAUUAUCAAAAUAUAUUUUUUAUUUUGAGAAAUUUAAUUUUAUCAAAAUUAUAAUAAUUAUUAAUUGUUAUUACUUAUUAAAUUGAUAAUAACAUAUAAAAAUUAUAAUUCAUAAAAAUUAUAAAUAACAAAUUUUACAAUAACUUAAUCCUUAAAUUAAAGAAUACUAGAAAAUUAAAAUAAAGUUUAAUCACAAAAAUCAUUAUUUAUCAAUAAAUAAGAAAAUUCUAAUAAAAAACUUCUACAAGCACGAUAUCGACAAGUAAAUUCAAAGAAAGAAAGAAAGAAAGAAAAGACUAGUACUACUAAGUAUUAACCCUAUUACAACACAAACUCUAACAAUGUCCAUACAAAUAAAAAAAAAUAAGACAUUCUAACUCAAGUGUCAAAGCAAUCCAUCAUAAUCAUUUCCAUCCGUAGUACUUUAAUCGAGAGAUUCCACGAUUAACUGACAAAAUGUAUGACAAUGAUAAUUUACAUUGAUUAUGACAUAAUAGAGAUGGAUUUGUCAAAGCCAAAUCAUUUGCUGGAAAGGAAUUUAGUUGAAGUAGGAACCAAAAUUCAACUUAGAUGGAUCUAUAAAAUUGGUCAUUCAAUACAUAAGUACUUUAUCAACAGAUUCAACACAUUAUAAAUUUAUGGAUUCAACUAAGUUACAACCAGCUGCAACUUAUUCCUCUCACAUAAACAAUAAUACAGCGGUAGGCUAUAUUAUUUACAAAAAGUACUUAUGUAUUGAAUGACCAAUUUUAUUACCUGCAAAAUUAAUUAAUCUUUCACUCUAUCAUCUAACUAAUGGAAGGCAAUCUUAUUUUAGGUUGUAAUGAUUAGAAACUAGCAGGAAGUGGGGGCGAUGCUCCAUAUUAAUUUGGAUAAAUCCCUUUCUAGUGAAGAAGUUAAAAUUAUAAAAUAGAGAUCAAGAUAGAAAUUUAAAGGCCCCGAUUGUUUUUUACAGACUUAAAAAUGAUAUUGAAAAAUUAAAAGCUAAUUUUAGUAUUUAAAAAUUACUUUAAGAAAAAUCACCCUAUCUUCCUGUAAAUUUUGAAAAGCAUGAAAAGAGCAGUUUUUCAAAAAUUGAUUUCGAAAAUUAGUUUCAUACUUAAUACAAUUCCAUAUAUCCUAACAUUUAUUAUAAAAAUUCAAAUUAUCCUUAUUAAAUUAGGAAAUAAAGUCAGUACAUUUAAAUAAGAGUGAUGAUAUAGACACAAACUCUUGUACCAACUGACGUAGCAUUAAUUUAUUAGUUGAAUGAAAAUAUAAAAUAAUAUAAAUAAAUCAUGUGGGCCAAGAAAUAUUUAAUUUAACCAAUUUUAUCAUGUCACAUUAUAAGCAACUUAUAAACUCAUUGGAUUCGACUCUUUACUAAAAUAAAAAUAAAUUAAUAUAUAUAUAUAUAUAUAUAUAUAUUUACAUACAUAAAAUGUGAUUAUAUACACAUAUUUAUAAUUGAAUAUGUACAUAAAUUCUGUAGAUUUAUGUCUAUCUAUACAUUUGCAUUCUUACCACAUUUUAAAAGUGUGAUUUACCAAAUACAUGGGACUUAUUUGAAAUUUAUAGCACUUUUAUAAAUAAAAUUUAUCAAACGUUAAACAGAUUCUCUAUUUUCGCGUAUAUAUCCUCAUGUAAAUUAUAAAAAUUCAAAAUUAUCUUUAUUCAAUUAGGAAAUUAAAUCAUUAUUUUUAAAGAGAUUCUUAUUAUUACUAAUUAGAUUCAAAUAACCAAAAAAAUACAAUCAAUAAAAUAAAAAUAUUUAUUUUAGUUAUCAUUUAUUAUAUACACAUAUUUAUAAAUGCAUGUGUAAAUAAAAUUUUAUAGAUUUAUGUCUAUUUAAGUUAUUUGCAUUCUUACAACAUUUAAAAAAUGAGAUUUACUAAACACAUGUGAUUGUUUUUAAAAAAGUUACAACACUUUUAAAAAUAAAAUUUAACAAAUGUUUAAUUGACUCUCUCCAAAGGUAAUUGUUUUUACAGUAUAGCUAAAGUAAUUUAUAAAUUUAUGAUAAGUAUUUGUGAAUAUUGGUCUAUGUAAAGAAGUAAAAACAACAUAUAUAUUAAGCAGCAUGAUAUUAAAACUCUUAGUAAAAUACAUAUACUAAUAAAAGAAAGACAACAAUGCAAUAAAUAAGCUUAUAAUAUAAAUUAUUAAAAUUGUAUAUUAAAAAAUUAUGCAUGAAAUUCUUUUUCUAUUUUGGUGAUAGAGAAUGCGAUAUAAUUGAAUUAUUUGAUUUAAUAAAAAAAAAAUAUGACUGUGAAGGAAAUUAACAAUUGAAUUGUGGAAUGUUAUUAAUUGUUAUUGUAUCAUUUUGCAACGUUCUAAUAAUAUGGACAAUGUUACAGUAUAUUGAUGGGCGGUAAUAUUUUCACCUCUUAAAUUGUGUAAAGUCAGCUCCAUUUAAAAAAAUUAUAUAUAAAAAGCCCAUUAGUUUUAAUAGUUUCAAAUUAAGAUUAAAUGCAAAUAAUUAACCAAUUAAAUCCUUAUUAAUAAGAUCAUUGAGCUUUAAUUAAACUAAUAAAAUGCAUUUGAUAAAUGAAAUUUACGAUAUUUAAUUACAUGAAAUUUAUUGACUACAUGAAUAAUAUAAUUGUUCAGCUGUUUAAACUUUUUCCCUAUUUAAAUUUUAAAAAACAAUGUGAAAUUUUGUAAAUAGUUCUUUGAAAUGGGGUGGAUUUACACCAUUUGUGCAGUGCAAAUAUCCUAAUUCUAACAUUUUUUUUAAAAAAAAAGACCAAAUCAUAACAUUUUUUGUAUACUAAGUUAAAGUAGUACUAACAUUAUAGCCCCCUAAUGAUUUCAAUUCAUUCAAUGAAUAUAUAAUUUAAGCAUGUUAUAAACUAAGUCUCUAAAUCGAAUUAAAAAAAGAAAAAAGAGCUUAAUUGCUGACAUAGUUGAAAAUAAAAUAAAAAAUUUUAUUAUUAGAUGAAAAAUUAUGAAACUUAAGGGGUAUAAGCGAGUCGGCAGCUGCUCACCAGGGCAUAUGUAAUAUUUGUUAAUACAUUUCAAAAUUUUAGGUUUUUUAAUAAUAUUUUCAAUACAUUUUCUAGAAGGUUUAGAAAAAAAAAAUGACUCAAUACUUUAAUCGAGCUAUGAAUAAACUCAUGUGUUAAAAAAUUUCAUAUUUACACCCAAUAAGAUUAAUUAAUGGGUGAUACAAAUUUAAGAUAGUUAAUAAUAAUAUAUAUCAUCUUAAGUUAACUUCAACUCAUUAACCUUGUAUAAGGUUUGAUGGGUCGUGCCGCAAAUUAUCACCUCUAAUCCUUUUUGCAACAGGCAUGAUGAAUGCUAACAAAAUGAAACUUCUAUAUAUUUAGUUGUUAUUCUUUUUAAUGAAAUAAUAAGGAGCUUUGCUGCAAAUUUCCAUCCAGCAUGGCAUGGACGCACGUGAAAUUUGCUAGUAUGGUCCUGGACAUGCGUGGCUGAGAUGCUUCUAAAGGCAAAGAAUUCCAAGUUCAUACCAAAUAUAACUUUCUGAUAUUUUUGUGGUAUCAAGUUUGUUUUUCACAAACUAAGGUGUCGGCGUAAAGUUGUUGUCCAUGCAAUGAAGUUUUAUACAUAAAUAUAUUAACCUAAAUUGUUACUAAAGUUCCAUAAUUAGCAGUUCCUGAGAGUUUUUACUAUAUAUUUUUUUGUUUUAAUUCAACAUAUGUUUAUUUAAUACGAUUUUAUUAAAUAAAUGUGCAUAUUUACCAUAUUUGUCUACGAUCAAUUAGUUGGAAAAAAAAAAGAAAAUUAAUAAAUUUAUUUAUUUGAUUGUUAAUGGUUUAGGCAUUUGAAUUCCCACAAAGUCAGGGUGUCAGCUCUGGACUUCUGGUGAUGUAUUUUUCUAAUAAAGAAAUAAAAUAUUGUUGUCAUUUUUUUAAUAUUCUAAUUUACCAAGCCUACCAACCAAUUAAUUUUUCUAAUUAGAUCAUUAAUUCAUUACACGUGCAUUCGCUGGCCCAGUGCUCCAAUCCCAUGCAUGCUGCACAACUCAAUGUGUUUUAAUAAGAAAAGGUUUGGUUAGCCUGUGCUGAUGCCAGAAGCCCCUUAAGGAGUUCAGGUAAACGUAAAUAUGUCCAGAUUUAGAUUUGAAUAUGUAAACGUAAAUAGGUCCAGAUUCAGAUUCGUUGCGCUAGAGAGGGGCACGCACGAUCGGGCUGCUGUCAGGUGGUACGUUGGCGUGGCAAUUCUCAACACGCGCUUCUCCUGGUGCAUACUUACGGCAAGUUGACACGUGACCCGUGUGGAUUGAGUGGACAGAGUCACGGGCACUGAUUUUUGUCAUCCAUAACGACUAACGUCGGAGACUUCGAGAAGAAAGAAAUUGUUGUCGUUUCUAAGGGGAAAAAAAUAUUUAAUUUGUUGAAGACAAAUUAACGUCGGAGAUUUUUUUUAUUUUUUAUUUUUAAUUUUGCAAUCUAAACCAGUCUAAUCAAAAUGUCAAUUUGACAAAAGUUGGACUGAUUUAGAUUAGUUCUAUUAGUUUGAUUGGAUUAAAUUGAAUUAGAUCUUGAACAUCCUAACACUUUUCAUGAAUGUUUUCCUUUUUUUUUGAAAAAAAUUAAUAAGGAGAAUUCCCAUGAAUGUUAAUUUUAUUGAUAAACUUGGCAAUUUUAAGAAAUGUUUUGACGCACGAAUAAUGCAAUUCAUCAACCCACAUAGAUAUGGAUAUAGGAAGCAGAGACCAGAUCGAUCUUGACAUAACGAAAACUUGUAUGUGUAUAUGUAUGUUACAGACCAGAUCGAUCUGUAGCAUAGACUUCUCCUAUAUGUAGGUUAUAUUCAAAUUACAAAAUGAACACAUGUUAAGGAUCUACAACUUCUUCUUUAAUCUAAUAAGCUCCCUCAACUUUAUUCCAAAACAAAAAAGAAUCAAAUUUUUGUUGGAAAUAUUUAUGAAUGAAGAAGCAAAAAGCGCUUGUAUCAAGGAUCUAAUUAAAGAACUGCCAGAGGCAUAGAUCUAUCAAAGCUCCCUCGCAUGACUCUUGGUCUCGGUGGCUUCUUCUUCUUCAUUCCGAAUUUUCCCUCCAUCUGAUCUCUUCCAACCUUUCCAUUUCCAAAUUGAAUUGAAACUUGCCUCAUAUUCGUUUGUUGAAUCCCAUCUUUUGUUGCACCACCAUGCAUCAAAAUCCUUGAAAUCCCAGCAUAAUGCAAGGACUCAGCUAUUUGCAAUGGGGUCACGUUCUUACUUGUCCUUGCCUCAACAUCAGCUCCCUUCUUCACAAGCAAUUCAGUCACAUCUGUGUGGCCAGAUUCCACCGCACAAUGCAAAGCUGUGUACCCAUCUUCAUCUUUAGCAUCAACAUCAAUCCCUUUAUCAAUCAGAAUCCUCACAACCUCAAUCUUUCCCUUAAACGAAGCCCUAUGCAAAGCAGUCCAUCCAUGUAGGUCUUUCCCAUUGAUCGCGGCGCCUGCUUCGAUCAACCUCUGCAUUGUCCUCACUUCCCCUUUCCUAGCGGCAAUACACAGGCUGUCACCAAGCUUCAACGCGUCAAAGAGACGGGAGUGACCGCACUCAGCAGCAACAUCAUAAGCGGUCUUUCCGCUCUUGUUUCUAAUAUAUUUAUUAGCACCCUUCUGCAAUAACAGCUUCACCAUUUGCUCAUAUCCCAAGCUUGCGGCGAUAUGCAAAGGCGUGUCACCGUCUCUAGCGUUGCGUAUAUCAGGCCUUGCUCCGUUUGCUAACAGAAGUCUCGCGCAAUCUCUUCUUCUGUCUUCAACCGCGAGAUGCAGAGCUGUGUUACCAUCUUUUGUUAAAGCAUUGACAUUAGCACCUUUGAUUAAGAGAAGCUUUAGUACUUCCAAAUGGCCGCCUCGUAAGGCCAAGUGUAUGGGCCCCCAUGUUGAUGUUCCUGAUCUUUCUGUGCUGGCUUUCCUCGCCAACAAGAGCUCAACAAUAAGUGCUUCCCCUGCAGCCGCCGCGGCUUCAAGUGGAGUACUGCAGCCACACCUGCCUUGAGACUCAACAUCCGGCCCAAACUCAAGCAAAAGUUGAACAAUAUCAGGCCUCCUUUGAGCUAUAGCAAUAUGAAGCAACGUUUGUCCCUGCGCAUCGGCAGAAUCAGCCGGGUUCCAAGCCGGGUCACUCCGCUCAAGAACCUCUCUUAAAUCAUCCAUUUCACCAUCCUUAACAAGCAGAACCAAAACAGGAGACCCAACGAACAUGAUCUUGAUUCCGCUGUCGAUGAACACUUGCUUCUUCCUCGUUGUGAACCAGUCACUGGGGACGGAAUCAAGCGUCGACGUUGCAUCUUUAAUUCCAGCUCCAGGAACAACAACGCUGUGCAAGAGGAAGGAAUCAUCACAGUGAGGGAAAGAAUCAGGAAGAACCGAUCCUGGAGGGAGAUGAUACGCAAUCUCUACGCUUAGUGUUGCGAGUGGUGAUAUGAUUCCUGAUUGCGGCUUCACAGUAUAACGAGCCUUGUUUGUAGGCUGAAUCCUGAAAGCAACAGGCAUCGUGUGCAUGACAUUGCGGAGAGUCAGCUCCCCGGAACAUUUCUGCCCUGGUUCAAUUCUGAUAGCUACAAGGUUCGACGGCUCCAAGCUUACAAGCCUAUCCAUUGAUUAAUUUUCUCUCCGUUUCCCAAGGACUGCUGAAAGGGGUUCUUUGAACUUUUUGAUUCAGGCUUAUUUUCUUCACUUUUGGUGGCAUGGGGAGGAAUUAGAGGAGUAACUGUAAGAGCUGCAAGUGUUGGUGUAAUCAACUGUAAUAUAAGGAGAAGAGAGGGCCGGCUCUAAUGGGAGACUGCCACGUGGUGGUGUUAAAAACAAUGAGACUUGUUCUGUUCGGCGUCCGGAGUGUAUAUACAGUUGUGUUAGUGGUGAAAGUUAAAGAAAUCCUGAAGUUAUUUUCGGAGUGGCUUCUGCAAAGUCACUUUCAGGAUUGUAUUGUAUCAUUAAAAAACAAAGCCAGUUUUUGUUGUUCUAGUAAAAGGCGAAUCAUUGGACAAACUCGUAAGAAUAUGUUGCCAAAUGUAUAAAAUAUGAAAUUCAAACAAUGAUUACAAUGUGAAAUUGGACAAUGGACAUGGCCUGUGUGAAUUGUUUUGUGGGCUUACUAAUUAAAUUAAUUCACUAAAAAUAAUGUCACUUUUGUGUCUGUGAAGAAGCCGAAAUGGCACAGUCAUUUACGUGGCCAACUACGGUGACUACUUCGUCAGUAGCUGCUCGAGCACUUGGUCAGCACAAGUUGCUUUCUUUCUUGGCGGGAUUAGUUUUUCUUCAUUGCUUUAAGUGGUGCAUUUCUGCAGUUUCAUUUUGCUUUGCUUAUGCCAUUGGAUUUGUGCCCCAUAAAUAAAUAUAUAAUUAAGCGGAAAAGUAUCAAAUUUUGAAAAAGCUUAGGUUUUGUGUGUGUGUGUGUGUGUGUGUGUGUGUGUGUUUUAAGCCGAAUUACUCGGCUAAAAAUUAAUCCGAUUAUUAUUGUUUUGGUGCUUAAGAUGUGACUCUAACCUAAAGCUCAUUUGAACUCUCUUGAUGCUCAUAUGGUAUUUUUUGUGUUGUGUCGUGCUGGCCCUUACACAUCUCGGCUCAUAUUUUUCAUGUUACUAAGUUCUAAUAUGUACAAAAGAAAUAGAGCAAUGUCCGGUGGUAGAUCCAAACACUCAAUUUGGGGUGCUUAUUUUUCAGUCUCAAAUUCGAUUAUUUUCUUUUAAAAUAUUAAAAUAAUAGUAAUAAAAUACUUAUUUUAAAUACUGAGCUCAUUACAACCACAUAUGUAAAAGUAUCAUUUAUAUUUUUUUUCUAAAUAAUCUUCACAAAAUAUUUUAAAAAAUAAAAUUAUGUGACUAUGGGGAUUUGAACCAAGUCUCUCAAACUACUAAAUAACACUUUUACCACUAAAUUACAAAUCUUUUAACAUAUUAAAAGUGCAUCCAAAUUAUUAUUAUUAUUUAAUUAUUUCAUAAGAGAUUUGGGGCACAUUUAAAAGAAAAAAAAUUAAUGGUGCAUAAAGGACUAAAGCCUCUCUUGAGUCCUUGACCUUAACUAGGUCCACCCAUGGUAAUGUCAGUGAUACCCAACUUGAAAAAUAUACAAGAAACUUGGAAAUUUAAAUUAAUGAAUAAAUAAAUAAAUAAAAGGAAACUUAGUGAUUGUAGCUGUUGUAUUGUAUUGUGGAUCAAAGAAUUACAAGUUCUUGGUUUCUCGGUAUUGGCUAAUUUUGAAGUUAAAUGAAGUUCGAAAAUAUUUACAAGCAAUAAAAUUAUCAACUGAAUGAGACAAGGAAAGAGUAUAAAGACCUUAGCAAAUUAGCAAUCCUUCUUUAAUUUAGUAACAGUGACGCUUAUAAAGUUAGAAGACGUAUCAAAUCUAAUUUAGAUUUUGCCCCAUAAAACUAACUUAACUUAUAGUGCGUCUUUGUUUAAUUAGUAAAUAUUCCACAAAAACUGAUCAGCACUUUAUAGGAAAUUCCAAACACGUUUAUAUUCACAAGGAAUAUGUCAAGGAGAAAUGAGAAUAAAAAAAUGUAAAAACUAAUAAAGCUUCAUUAAUUAGAAUUUAUAACCAUAUGUGCUCCUAUACUACUUUUAUUAUUAAGAAUUUGAAGUAGAAGGUAGUUGAUUAUCAUGAAAUUACAAAAUUGUAAACGGAUUUGUUCUUUUGGAAAAAGAAAAAAAAAAAAAAAGGAAGGAUAGUUGAUUACUUGAUUAGUGAGAAAUCAUACGUAUAAAGGACAAAUUGAAAAAUGGGACCUGAAUUGCAACAAAGCUUCAUUGGAAUUAACUGCCGAUAAAAUUAAAUUAGUAUCACCCUACCCUUUCAUCUUAAUAUAUUCGAAAUUUCACCGAUCAAAGUUUCUAGCUUCGAUUUUUACGAUCUCUCAUCCUAAUAACACCAAAAGCAUAUUCAUUCGUUUGUAAGAUUAUGUAACAAAAUAUAGUAAAUAGCCUAUAAUUUUUUUGUUUUACUACUAACCUGUUAUCAUUCUUUUCUAAUAAUACAUGUUAAAAUAUUCACAGAAAAAAUUUAUCCCUAUUACACCCAACCACCUUUUUUUGUGUUUUUUUUGUUCAAAUUUUAGCAUUAAAGGGACAAUAAUGUCCUAUGAAAUAUGCAGAAAGACAGUUAAUAAUAUUCAAAAAUGUAAGUGGAGGUAUCUUACGCCACACACACAAAUUACACGACUCUCAUUAAUGUGUUGUUGUUGUUAUGUGUGGCGUAAGUUACAGUUGAAUGUCAUAUUCAAAAAAGUAAGUGGAGGUAUCAAUCUCCCUAAAUAAAUAAUUUAUGGAAGGUUGUUAGCUGUUGUACUUUUAGUUAAUUUUAAAAUCACAAUAAUAUGGUUAAUGUUAAGUUACAUGCAUGUAACUUAGGAGGAUCCCAAUAAUAUACCAUAUUUUAUUAAUAUGUACAGUAUUUAUAAUAUUUAAAAAUUAAGGAAUUAAUGUACGCAUGUAAAAGCUGCAUUGGAGCCAGUUGGAAAUCUUACUGUCUUGAUAUAUGCAACGAUUGUAGCAGCUAAAAAGGCAUGAUAUUUACUUAAUAUUAUUUCAAACAAUAAUUAUUUAUUUAAAGCAAAUAAUAAUAAUGAGGGCAGAAGGACUAUUCUAGGAUCAAUAUGGUGACAGUAUAAAUAAAUAAUAUUAAUUAUUAAUGCAUUGAUGAGUAUUGUUAAAAUGACAUAAUAGGUUUGUUUCAUUGAAUUGAACCUUUUCUCUUAAAAUAGCUAUAAUUUGUUCUCUCUCUCUCUGUGUUUUUGUUUUUGUUUUUCACUUUAGUUUUACUUCUCUUAAAAAACCAAAAAAAAAAAAACAAAAUUAAUGGAAACUGAUGAUGGGAAGACGGACAAUUUUCUAUAUUGUUAAAUAGAAAUGGGCACAAAUGUGAGUUUUUUGGGGCAAAAAAAUAUAGUCAAUGUACGUAGCGUUUGUCUAUUUGAAAACCCGUCAAUAUAAAAACAGGACGUAAAGCUUUCAGACAAAGUACUCUUAUGGCCGUACUUUCCAUAAACCAAAUCAAAAGAAGGAAAAUAUUUGUGUCUGGCUUCGAUGCGACUGUUAACAUUCACAAAUAAACACCUUUGCAUGGUCAGAAAAAUUAACAAGAAAUUAGAAGGCGAUGUUGCGUUCUACUUAGUUCUCUAGGAUUUGUGUCAUUUGUUUAUGCUACGGUUCGUUCCCAUUUGCAUUGCGUGGAAUAAUUGGCCGAAUAUUAUUAAUCUCAAUCUUAAUCUCUCAACUCUUGUCCCUUUAAUUUUUGUUUGUAUCUUUUUCUUUUUUUUUUUAAAUAUCACAUACAAUGCUUUUAAUAAAUAACUUCAUAGAAAUAUUUAAUAAAAUCCAACAUAUAUAAGUUCAAGAAACUCAAAAAAUAAAAGAAAAUAAACUCACGUUGUCACUGGAGAGACUCAAACAUGCUACCUUAAAAUUAAGUAGAGGGUGCAACUACUUGCACUUUAAAAAAAGAAAAGAAAAAAAAAGGGGCUUUGAACGCUCGUGAUAAUUUGCAAGUUAUGGAGGAUAAUCAUUGUACAAUGGGGAGAACUCUUAUGGAACAAUAUUCAAACUGAUAUUGAAAGCAUAUAAGAAUUUGGCUUGGGUGUUUUGGUGCCAUGAAUGAGUGCAGAAACAAAGAGGAAGCUUUGUCCCUUUAAUUUGAUCUGCUGUAUUAUAAUUAUUGAGAUUAAUCAAAUAAAUAACCGAAACAUGGUUACAGUUUUAUAGUGUAUUGCAAGUCUUUGGAGAUACUAUGUACCUCAAAAAAAAAUAUCGUAUAAAAGAGUGUUUUGUUUCACAGGGGUUCAAUGAGAUUUGAGAUGGCUGUAAUGAAAGUGAUGUAAAUUUUUUGGACUCUAAUGAGGUGUUUUUAGAUGGAGGGGGAUUUACAAGUAUUUUAUAGGGGUGAUAAAUGACUGUAUACCCACCAAAAAGGCCCAUUGUUCGAGUCCAUGAGCAUUACAGUUUUUUUUUUUUUUUUUUUUGAAAUUCAGAACAUGCAGUUUGUUUGAUUCAACUUCCGAAUUACAAAAUUAGAAUAAGAAAAAAAAAUGUGGAUGUUUUUUCUUUAAUUUACAUAAUAAUACAUGGUGUGGACGAUGUCUAUUGAGGGAUAAAAGAGGAAUGGGGGCACUGUGAAGUUUGUGUUUUUGUUUUUUUUAAAUUAUCAUAUUCAUACUGUCUAUAAAAAUAUGCAAGUUAAAAAAUUACUCAUGAUAUUGUUGUUUUUGUUUCAUAUAAUACUACUUAUGCACAUCGCCUCAUGCAAACAUUUCUUAGUUAUGCUUAAAAAAAUGAGAUUCUCACCAUGGGUCACUGUAAAAAUCCACAGAAGCCGUGGAUCACAGUAGGAAGCCCACUUGAACAGAAGAAGCUACCGAAAGCUUCGACAUUGUAUUUAUGAAAUGCUUAGUAAAUUUUGUUUUAUUUUGAAUUUAUAUUAUAAAUGGUGUGUUGCUAAAUUAAAAAAUAAAAAAGAAAUGCAAUGUGUCAAAAUACAAGAAUCUUACGGACAUUUUUGUCACAAUAUAUGUAAAUAAUUCAUAUCUUAUUCAUAUCCUAUGUAAGCUUCACUUGUUUAACACAAUGGUGGUUGAAUCUUCAAAAAUUCAUAAUCUUAAACAACCAAAUUUGGAAUUAAUUAAGCAAAUUGCCUCUAUAAAUUGAUUACAACAACCAACGACGUGUGAAGCCACAUGUCAAUUUCCCUAGACAGCCCAAAUAUUGAGGCGCUGUGAGGGAGCAAGGUGCAAUCGGAUGGGGGAAAGAGAGAGAGCCAAUGGUGAGAAUGGAUCGUGGUGAGGGAGAACCAACUGGUGGUGAGAUUUGUGGCUUCAAUGAGGUGAGUUUCGUGGCGCUGUGAGUGAAGUGAGAUUUGGCAUGAGUGUGAGGGAGAAUGCGUGUGUUGUGUGAGUGAGGUAAGCUGUGUCUGUUGUGUGCAUGGAGACUCUCACCACAAUUAGAAUUUAUAGUUAGCACAGAACGAAACACAAUAUUCUACGCUAACUGUGGAGUUAACCAUGGUGAGAAUAUCAUUAUUGUUUAUUAUAACACUUUUUUUUUUAAUUUGUUUUGACAAUAAAAUAAAGAACCUUGUAAGAAAACCUCAAUAACUCAAUUAAAAAACCAACUCAACCGAUGAUAGGUAAAUUGAGAAAUUUUCAACUAAAAAUUAUUAAGAUUGGUUUUAACUUCAAAUCAUAGUCACAUAGUUUUGUCCUUAUAAAGAUCAAAAUAAUGAAUUCUAACUCCGAAGUUUUUAGAUUUAUGUGACGAACUGACGAUAGUAUAUUGAAAUCGAUUGAAAUGAAAAAUUUAAUUAAAUGCAAUUCAAGAUGUAGUAUCAAAUUCAAACGAUUCGGAUUGUUUUAAAAAUUUCAAUGCUUUAAUCUAAAUCGAUUAAUCAAUUACACUCUUGCAAUUAUAUACCGUUAAAACUAAAAUAUGUAAAAUUUAGGGUGCAUUUAUUACCAUUUUCAAUUUGUUGUUUUUCGUUUUAUGAAAAGGAAAAUACAGAAAACUUGUUUGGUGAGCUCAUAUUGGUGGAAAACUGUACAGUGAUUAAAAACAAAAAAAAAUUCAUUUUUCAAUGUUUACAAAGGAAACAAGAAAACGCUAUUACACUGGGUUCUCUAUUUUAUUUCACUUUUACUCUCUGCCAAGGCCCUACCAUCUUAACUUUUAUAACAUGGUGUAAUAAAUUACGUGGGCCCAUUUAAUAAAGAAAUAAUCUAAUAAAUAAAUUAUUAUAACAAAUAUUUAAAAAUAAUAGCAUUCCAUACCUUACAGCUUAAUUACUUAAUAUAUUACCCAAAUUAUUUUAAAUAAAAAGUGAUAUCAUAUAAUUAUUAUACUAAAUUAUUACAUUGUUCGACCAAUAUGCAGUUAUUUAAAAAUUACUACAAACUUUCUUACAUAUAUUAAUGAAAAUAUAUCAAUAAUAAAGUUACAUCUUGACAGUUAAUAUAAAUAAAUAUAUGAUAAUUAUGAAAUAAUUAAAGAUUUUCUCAAUUAAUAUUAUCUUAUAACUACAAUUUAUUUACAUAAUUAAAAGUUUUUAAGAAAUUAUUAAAAUAUCUUCAAACCUAUAUGCAUUUAUAAUAAUAUAUAAUACAUCAUAAUAUAAUAACUAAAUAGAUAAAUUAUUUAUUAAUAUAAAAUAUAUGUUUAUAUUCAUUAUAUAAUAUUAUUCUUUCAUAGUAGUUUCAUUAAAUAAUUCUCUACUCUCUCUCUUUUUAUCUUUAUUUUUUCGGACAGACAAGUAACCAAACACCGCUUCACCUUUUUUUUAUUUUCAAAUACUAUUCUUAAAAUAAACUACCAAACAUAUUUUUAUUUUUAACAAAAACUAAUCAUUUUUAUUUUAUAAAACAAAUUGAAAAGUACUAUUUAAAAUAUAAUACCAAACUUACCCUUAAUAAUUUUAUAUUUGUCAAAAAGAUGAGAAGCUAAGUGGCACUAUCGUUUACCUAUUCAAACUAAACGUGGAGUCACAAUAUUGAAGACACUUUGGUGGCCACAACACUCUUUUCUUUAGUACGGAACAAUCUGGCUUACAUGACACUACAUAAAAAUAAAUAAUAAAAAAUCACCGAUUCCAACUGCCCCGGACAAAAAACAGGCCACACGUAAAAAGGCUUCUAUUUUUAUUUUUAUUUCUCCCCAUUUUAAAGAUGACGUCAUGGUGAUUAUGAAACCAGAAAAUAACAAAUUUUAGUUGUCUGAUUUUGUAGUUAUCCAGCGAAAACUAAAAAAACAGUGAACGCAGCAGCAGAUCUCCGUGUUUGUCGUCGUUCGAUGAGAGAUUCCGAUUCGUGAGCAUCGCAAGUGUUGAAAUGGAAUCAGACGAAAUGAGGAGUUAGCCUCUUAUUAUAUAAUAAUAAUAAUGAUAAUAAUAAUAAUAACUAAUCUCUUUUAUCAUAUAAUUGAUAAUGGAAAUUCACAUUGACAAAAGGCAAAUUACACACUGACUGGGCAGAAUAAAAAACAGUCUCUCUCAAAAGCAAUAAUUUAAACACUAACACCACCUUAAGGAGACACCCCAAAAAUAAAGCAGCAAGCUCUUACUGUGACCACACACACACACACACACCAAACUUUUAUUAUAGAAUAAAUCUAAGAUGAUGGAUGAUGGAUGCGUCACAUAAAAGUUAAUUAAUUUAAUCGCUGUCACUGCUGCUGCUGCUCUCGUGUCCGUCCUCGUGCUUCUUCUUCUUCUCCUUCUUUUUCUUCUUCUCUUCACCGUGGGCGGCGCCCUCGCCGCCGCCGACACCGGGGAUCUUCUGCUUGAUCUUGUCCACCAAGCCCUCCUUGUGUUCGCCCUCCUUGUGUUCCCCGCCGUGAUGCUGCUGCUGAUGGUGAACAUCAGUAGUGCCGACACCGGGGAUCUGCUGCUUGAUCUUGUCCACCAAGCCCUCCUUGUGUUCGCCGCCGUGAUACUGCUGCUGAUGGUGGACAUCAGUAGUGUGGUGGUCCCCACUAUGGUGCUCUCCCUUGUGCUUGUCCUCCUCCUUUUGCCCUCCUCCCAUGUGAAGGGCUUCUCCGAUCUUGUGAAUAACUCCUGACAUUUUCCCUUAAAAUGACUCUGUUCCUCUUCUUUUCUUUUCAAUGAAAAAUAGUUGUUUGCGAUCUUCUUCUGGUUGUUGUUGUUCUUGUUGGGUGAUCUUGGCUUGGUAUUUAUAGGCUCCAAAAGGAGGGACUAGAAUUAGGAUUAGAUUAUAGAUUAUUUUAAUACAUUUUAUGGCAAAUUCUGAUUUGGAAAGAUAAGAUUAUCCUUUUGGUUUUCCUUAUUUACCCUUUUGCACCCAUUACGUGUACGCGUCUUCGUGGGCUUUUUGGGUAUUUCAAUUAUAUCGCCAAUGCUAAAUCGACACGUUGCAUAUCAGCCGCGGUACUGCCGUAUGUAGUUGUCCAGAAAUCGAGUCGAUUCUCGAUCGUACAAUAAUUAAAUAAUAUUUCAUACGAAAUGAGUUUAGAUAUAUUUUGAAAAUUUAUUUUUAAUUUAAUUAUACGUGUUAUAUAUUUGUUAAUCGAAUAGAGGUCCCACGUAACAGAGUGUUUCUCUAAUCUUUCAUUGCUUUUAAUUAAUUUUACCCAAAUAAAAAAAAAAAGGAAAAUUUAGAGAGAGAGAGAGAGAUAGCGAAUUAGAAGUUGAUUGUAAUAUCGACACCUGUCAGACAAUCAAAUAUCGUUAGUUAAAAAUCAGUUGUCCAUAGUCAUGGUCAUAGAUGGCGAAAUUGAUACUUAUUUUAAAAAACAAAACAAAACAAAACGAAACGAAACUAAACUAACAGAUGUUGAAAUGCAGUUCCGUGUUAACAGUCUGUGAUGAAUCUUUAUCUUUGAGUAUACCAUUCAAGAAAUUAUCAUUCAAAAAUUUAUUUAAAGCAGCAGCAAAUCACCUUCUAAUUCCUGAAUCAAAUUAAUUCGAUUUUUUUCGAGUCGAUCAAUUCAUUAGAGAAUUAACGGGCUAAGUUAAAGUUUUGUUAGUUAUUUUUUUUUAUAUUCCUUUAGAUGAUAUGAUUGUCAUUGUCUUUCUUUCUCUGGGCAACAAUAAAUACAAGAUGUGCAAAAGCGUAGUGGAACAUAAUUCGAUUAUGGGUAAAGGGAUCAGUCCGCAUAAUGAGGAUAAAGUUUUUCUCUUUAAAAAAAUUUAACCCAAAGAAAAGGUCGUAGUUUGUAAUAGCCGACACGCAGAUAGAUCACAAAGCAUGGCGGUCCUGAUGGCAAUAACUAACUGAUAUCUUCUGCGAUGAGAGGAGAUCACGUGGUUCUGACACGUAUCGCCCCAUCAACUGAUGUUGUGGCUGCAAUCGCGGCCCAGUCUUUAGAGAGAAGAAAGAUCUGUUAUAACGGGACCUACUUUAGCAUCUAUUUACGACAAAGCCCCUAUUUACUCUACUUAGUAGUAAUAAUAGCAAGUGUCGGGCUUGGAUUCCGUGUUGCUUUAAAUAAAUAUCCGCGUAAAAAGAAAAUGCUUCUUUAAUCCCUUCCUUGUAAUUUUUCGACACGUGGAUGGUUGAAAUUAGCGUGCCGACAUCUUAGGAAUUUUAUCUUGGAGACGGGAACACUGCAGUAGGCAAUGCCAUUUUCUUCGGAUGGUGUGUGGUGACAACGCCUUGGAUUUUGACGUGCAAAGAAUUUAAAUUGAAAAAGAAAAAAAGAAAUUACCAGAAUAAGCAUAGAAGAGAUAUUUUUCUUUUUGUCCUUUUUGGAAUGGAAAAAGAGAUCAAGAGAUUGUUCCAGUAAGUAUUACACAUGUCACAGGCUUAUUCAUGCCCCAUUAUGGCAACUUUUAUGCCUCGCGGUGCCCUCGGUUCCAGCAUAAUAGCUAAGACUUCAAUUUUUCUAACAUAUUUUUGUUACAAAUAUGAACGGAGUAAAUGUAUAACUUUAAUCCUUUGAAUAAAGAAAUGGCGGUUCUCCUGCUCGUUAAUCUCACUUGAAUCCCACCCAGGCAAAAUUUCUUUAUUUUAUUUAACAACAAUUUAAAGAAAGAAACUUUUGCCAGGUUGAAUUUCAAGUGAGAUUCAUUCGUGGGAGAAGUGCCAUUUCUUUAUUCAAAAGAUUAUGGUAAUUACAACUUUCAAUUUCGACAUAAAUUAAAAUUAUAGGCUAUACAAUAAAAUUGCCCUAAAUUAGUCCUAAUCAAUUCAGAUUAUAAAUUUAGGUAUAUUUAUUAUUUUAAUAUAUUAAUGUUCUAUAUAUAUAUAUAUAUAUAUAUAUAUAUGUGUGUGUGUGUGUGUAUNNNNNNNNNNNNNNNNNNNNNNNNNNNNNNNNNNNNNNNNNNNNNNNNNNNNNNNNNNNNNNNNNNNNNNNNNNNNNNNNNNNNNNNNNNNNNNNNNNNNNNNNNNNNACAGCAGAAAAUAUUUGCUAUGGAUAAGGAGACAUGGUCCCACGUCCCACCGUCCCAAUGCAUAUUUUGUAUGUUUCCAUCUUUUCUGAAAUUUUAAUAAAUAAAGUUUUUUGACCACUUGGCCAAAGAACCUUACCCUUACACAACUUUGUGGUUGGAGUCCUGUGAUACAUGUAAGAACUUAUUUUUUUUCUUAAUUAUAAUAUUUUAGAAUAUAAUUAAGUGAAGUAGGUUUUUUUUUUAAAUAUGAGUAAAAUAGAUAUUUUUUAAAUAUUAAAGAGAGUAAAAUUUGAAUAAUAAUAUAUUAAAAUUAAUACAAACUAAUUUUAAUAAUUAUUUAAUUAUAAAUAUCAAUUAUAACAUCAUAUAAUAUCAAUUAUAAUAUCGUACAUCUCAAUUAAUUCAAUAAUAAUAAUAAUAAAUGUUUUUUGGGAUAAGUAAACAGUCGCAUGGCGACAAUAGUGGAUCUGGAUUAGAGUGAAGUGGUCCCAAGAGGCUGAGGCUGUGGCUGUGGAGUUCUAAAAGUCAAAAGCUCCACGCACUUUGUUUCAGUACCAUACACACUGAAAAAAUUUGCAUUUGCAAUGACGAAAACUUUUCACGAAAUCAAAACACCUCUAAACUAUUUUGUUAUCGAUAUUUAAUGGAGGGGUUUCCUACCUUUUUAACACUCGAUUCACGCCUUGACGCAUCUCACAGAAAACCUCAUGAUCCCAUUAAUCUUGCGUAACAUAUCUCAAAGCCAAUGCAAGUGAUCUUGUUGCCUACUUCCCUUUGACGAUUCAAAAUUGUUGAAAAUAAUUCUUUUUUUUUUUAACCUCAAGGAAGUGACAAAAUAUAAAAGAAUAUUUUCUACACAUUAAACAUCUAGAUUUUUUUUUCUUUUCUUUUUAGAGUACUUGCACAAACCGUUUCCAAGAGAGACCUUUUUUUUUUUUUUUUUUUUCCGGGCUUGGUUACUAAUUUGGUGUGAAUACUCUAUGGUGAAAAAGGAAUCACAAAGCUGUAAUCAAUUUUUUUGCAUCAUUUAGUUGUAACUUGAACAUUGGGAGGUUUAUAAAGAAUUAAAUUAAUUAUAAUGCCUCUACUAGGAAAAGUUCAGAGUAGCCCUUCACAACUUUUUAAAGGCUUAAUAAUUUUCGCUUUCUUCCUCUCAUAACAUAACAAAAAAUUAAGAGCUUUACUCGUACACGUCCUAUGGCUAUAUAGUAUUGGGUUCUCUACUUCAAUCGGCUAUCUCAAACCGAAGGUUAUUUGGACACACCAGCAGUCACGUUUGG